GCAUCAGCGUUAGGUGUUCUUUUGUGCGUGCGUGCGUGGGUGCGUGUGGGUGAUAUAUUGGUUAUUUUGGGGGACGGUUGGUGCUGGAUGGAUGGAUGGAUGGACGCCGACGAGCAAACAACGGAGGAGAAACAAAAUCCAUGGCAUGGCCUCCGUAGGUUGUUGCCGGGAGGAAUAAUAAGUGUCGUCGUGGGUCCGACGAAGGAAGAAGUUUCGGAGCUAUGGCGCUGCCUGCCAAGUAGUUCUUCUAGCUGUGUUAAGGUGAUGAACUGACGAAGAUUGGGAAAAUAUCGUCGGCGGUUCGGAAAGGCGUCGCUGUAAGAUAUAAGCAAGGAGGAAAGAAAUAAGAGCUCCAUGUUUCCAUUUGUGCUUAAGGCUUGGAUUGGAUUUGCGUUGUUGCAAUUCCACUUCGGUCAGUCAUGUGUACGCACGUACCAUCAUCAUCCCUUUUGGCAUCGCUCGGUUGCUUCGUGAAUAAGGAACCCCCAUCUUCUAUAAUAAGGAAAGAUAUAGUGCUGUUUUUUGUUCGGUGCUUGGGCUUUUCCUCCUUGUUACAUUUCUGUUUUGGAAUUAUUUUUGCAUGUGAAAUUGAUCGAGUGUCCGUGAUUAAUUACACUUGGGAGGGAGUAGGUUCGACAGAGGUGACUUGAGGUGUUGGGUGCACUCCACUUGGGCGCAAAAGUCUAAUCAUGUGACGUAUAGUUGCUUAACAAGGGGGUGUGCUCGGUUCUUUGUUAAUUGUAUAGCUGAUGGUUCCGACUGGAGUUAACGGGCCAUCCGCCUCCGCAAGAAUCUUCUUCCCCGGCCGGGCCGGGCCCCCCGGUAUCUUGCAUCUUCACGGCUCGUGUCGUCCUCUGACGGCGACGCCUGUGCUGUGUCUGGGUCCCCGUAAUUCUACGCCUCAAUUAUUUGCGAGACCCCGUUUAAAAUCAAGAGGUCGGGGCCGGGACGGACGAACGACCGACCUCUUCUGAAUCUUCUUCCAUCGUCGGUCCCUGUCCGGCGCUCCGUCCGUGCGUGGCCAGGCGAGUGCAGAUUCCGUUACGGCCUCGCAUGGCUCCAUCCUGUCCUCCCGUUGCGCCCUGCCGUGCCGCUCUGACCCGGUCAAGGCGUCCGGCUUUGUUCUGGGCGCCGUCUCCCGCUUUCUCCACCGGGUCGGCCUGGAUCGAAAGUGGCCGCGCCACAUGUCGAGGGCACAUUUGGGAUGCCUUCCGCAGCGAAUUGGAGAGGACGGCAAUCCGAUGCGUAUCUCUUUGAAGGGUACUGCCUGCAAUGGCACGAUCGGACAAAGCGGAUUGCCGCGUUCCCAAAUGUUUCUUUCCGGAACGCCUUUUCCUGGAUUCUUGUCGUACUUCUUGGGGCGACCGAUAUGUGCUAAAACACUUUCGGAAUGUUCGGUCCUAGCAGUAGCUUAUUGGUGAGAUUCGGGUCUAACUUGUACUGUAACGCAGAAAUUAGGCAAAAAUCCUCUGGCGAUCGAGCUCAUUCCACUGCAGGUCGUGCCAACAAAUUUGAGACGAUUCGUACGAGUUACUCCAUCCGUUCCGAAUUACUUGUCGCAAGUAUGGAUGUAUCUAGAUGUAUUUUAGUUCUAGAUACAUUCAUUUUUGCGAACAAUAAUUUAGAAGGGAGGGAGUACUAGCUAGCGACCGCGGGUGUGAGUCUCAUGGGAGACCGAAUUCUUCCCAAGUAGGAGUAGUACGGUUUUUUGUAUUUUGCUUUCUCGCUCGGAACGGCUCUACUCCACGUACCGUACCUACCAUCAUUGCUGCUGCUGCUGCUGCUAGGAACCUGGCCGUCCGUCCGGUCCGGUUCGGUGGUCUGCUGUCUGCAUCGGUGGAAAGGUGGGUGCGUCCGAGCUGGCGCAGCCGGCGCGGCGGCGCCCAUGUGGCUCUCACGUUGCCGAGACACACCGGCCGGGCGGUGCACCAGUGGCACGGCCCCCGUCGGGUUGAUUGGUCUCCGCUCGUUGUCACGCUGGUUGUGCGAGCGUGUCGCCUCUGAUUGCUCGCCCGUUCCUUUCCUUUAUCAACUCAAAACCACCCACUGGCGUUGCUUAAAAAAUGUGUACCGUACCGUAUGUUCUACUACCAUCAUGGCCGUGUGUUGUUGGAAUCUACGGAAUACAAGGCGAGCCAACGGGGAGGAUGGGCGGGCCUGUGGGUGGCAGUACGAGGGAAUUCAAAAUGCUGUGGCGCGCUUCCUCGCGUGGCCUGCUGGGCUAUACUGGAACAGAGAUGGAAGAUGACCAUGGCAGCGGCAGUGGCAGGCCAGUAGCAUGUGCCUAGAGAUUUGAACUGGCAGGGCCGGGCUUUAAUGCGCAUUCUCUGACAUGUGGAGUGGUCAACCUCCUCGAGCAAAUUAUGAGUAGUAGAUUUUUUAAGCGUGAUUUGUUCCUUGCUUAUGUCAUGCACCCACAUGGUUGGAGACGUGGGCGACUCACAAGAGGAGUGCUAAUACUUAUAAUUAGGUGGACUGAAGUGUACGUACGUACGUAUGCAAGGCAAAUGGAGGCUUGCGGUGACAUUUGUUGUACUGUAUAAUUGUAUUGCUGCUGCAUGUCAGAGUCACGGUAGUAGUAUUAAGUUGAGAGUAGUAUAAAAUUGGCGCUCCAAGUCAAAUGGCAGCAGAGCCACACAAGCACAAAGUGUGCGUUUGAAUCCCUGGUCAAAUGCUGGCUUCCAUUUGUUGGUACGGUACCUGACCCCAAGCUUGUGAAUUUUUUGGCGCGGUUGGAAUUUCCCUCCAACGGCGCGGCGGCAGGCAGAGACAAAGAGGAAGAGGCGGGGUCCUAUCCUAUCCUAGGUAGGAGUAUCCUUGAACCUGAAGAGGCUGAGGUUCGGCAUCCCACUAGUGUUUCACCAGCAGUUUUUUGGCUUGGGCCAUUCAAGCUGGUCCUGUACUGGCUCCGAGUGCUUCACCGGACAGGGCUACGGCCUAUGAGGGGACCGAUGUUUUACAGUAAGCAGCGAAGUACGGCGAUCAGAACUCUUUUUAUAGUGUACAGAAAGAUAAUUAAUUUUGUGAUCCUUGUUACUGUGACUGUUUCUCUCUAGGACCACCAAGUUCUGGCUGUAGGAGUAUCGCUUACAGUACCUUAGCUCCUUGUGGGAACAGCUACCGGUCGUUUUCUUCAUAGUUUACAGCGGGGUGGGAUGAGGGACUGGUCCUUGGAGCAUGUACAGCCAGACGUCUCAAACCAGUCAUGAAGGCCCGGACGGCUCACCCGGUUAGUGAUCGGUCACGAAAAUCUAACUCAGAUGGGCGCCUCAAACGAGUCUUGAACGUUUGGGCUAACCGAAACACCUCAUAUCCAGUUAAAUAUGGUGCGCUAGGGCGCGCCCACCACGUAGGACUGGCCGCAAGGUCCCACGCGGAAAAGAUCGGAAACCCUGCGGUCCGAUGGACACCUCCUUUGUUGCCAUGGUGUGAACACCGCGUGGCGCCGCUCCGGCUCGCCGCCCAAGGCCAAAUCCAACUAUUUAAGCCAGCCGGCGUCCCCCAACCCUGGUCCAUCCACCUUCUCCCUCUCUACGCCGCCACCCGAGCCCGUCCGCCUCCUCUCUCCCGCUCUCCGCCAUCGCCAUGGUCCGACGCUAUAUCAUGAUGUACGCUAUACUGACGCCGGAUCGCCGGAGGCAGAUCGCGGAGGAGAUCCUGGCGAGGCGCGCCUCCCGCAUAGCUGUCGGGCUGCCAUCGGACUCGCCGGAGCCGAAGGAGGAGGAGGAGGAGCAGCCGGAAGAGGCGGAUGAAGAGCAACUGUCGGACCCAAAUGAGGAGGCGGAGCAGUCUGCUCUGGGGUUCACCAUGGCGGAGGUGGAGUUCGCCGUCACCCAAGCCGCGGAGAUGGUGGAGCUGUUGGGAAUCGUUGCAUGGAAAACAAAAAUUUUCUACGCACACGCAAUGAUCUAUCUAUGGAGAUGCAUAACAACGAGGGGGAGAGUGUGUCUACAUACCCUCGUAGACCGUAAGCGGAAGCGUUUCACAACGCGGUUGAUGUAGUCGAACUUCCUUCGCGAUCCAAACGAUUGAGUACCAAACGUACAACACCUCUGCGUUCUGCACACGUUCAGCUCAGUGACGUCCCUCGCCUUCUUGAUCCAGCAAGACGUCAAGGUAGUAAAUGAGUUCCAACAGUACGACGACGUGGUGACGGUGUUGGUGAUGCGAUCUCCGCAGGGCUUCGCCUAAGCUCUACGAAAAUAUGACCGAGGGAGUAAACGAUGGACGGGGGCGCCGCACACGGCUAAGACAAUGUUGUGUGUCUUUGUGUGGCGCCCCCUACCCAUGUUUAUAUAAGUGGGAGGGCAAGGAGGCAGCCCCUAGGGCGCCCCAAGAGACCAGGGCUGCCGCCUUGCCCUGCGCCCCUUUCCUUGUAAGAAGAAGGGGGAAGGAAAGAGGGGGGAGAGGGAAGGAAGGGGGAGUCCUACUCCACACUUUCCUUUUCCUCCCCUCUUUCCUUCUCCUCCUCAUAGGGCUGGCCUGUAUAAGGGCGCACCAGCCCCUUGUGGGCUGCCUUGCCCUGCGCCCCCCUUUCCAAGCGAAGUUUAGUCAACGGGUCUGUCACAUUCAGAUCCGUAUGUACUUUGUCAAUUUCUAUGUCUACAAUGCUUCGCAUGGAGCUACUCUAACUAAUUUCUCCCACUUUCAAUACGUAUCCAGAUUGAGACUCAGAGUCAUCUGCAUCGGUGUAAAAGUUUGCAUCGACGUAACUCUUUACGACGAAUUCUUUAUCACCUCAUAACCGAGAAAUAUUUUCUUAGUCCUCUAAGGAUAAUUUUAACCGUUGUCUAGUGAUCUACUCCUGGAUCACUAUUGUAUCCCCUUGCCAAACUCGUGGCAAGGUGCACAACAGGUUUGGUACACAACAUGAGAUACUUUAUAGAAUCUAUGGCUGAGGCAUGGGGAAUGCCUUUCAUUCUCUCUCUAUCUUUUGCCGUGGUCGGGUUUUGAGUCUUACUCAACUUCACACCUUACAAUACAGGCUAGAACUCCUUUGACUGAUCCAUUUUUGAACUUCUUCAAAAUCUUGUCAAGGUAUGUACUCAUUGAAAUUCUUAUCAAGAGUCUUGAUUUAUCUCUAUAGAUCUUGAUGCCCAAUAUGUAAGCAGCUUCACCGAGGUCUUUUAUUGAAAAAUUCUUAUUUGAGUAUCCUUUUAUGCUAUCCAGAAAUUAUAUAUCAUUUCCAAUCAACAAUAUGCCAUCCACAUAUAAUAUCAGAAAUGCUACAGAGUUCCCACUCACUUUCUUGUAAAUACAGGCUUCAUCAUAAGUCUGUAUAAAACCAUAUGCUUUGAUCACCUCAUCAAAGUGUAUCUUCCAACUCCAAGAUGCUUGCACCAGCCCAUACAUGGAUCGCUGAAGCUUGCACAUUUUGUUAGCACCUUUGGUAUCGACAAAACCUUAUGGUCGCAUCAUAUACAACUCUUCUUUAAGAAAUCCAUUAAGGAAUGCAGUUUUGACGUCCAUUUGUGAGAUUUCGUAAUCAUAAAAUGCGGCAAUUGCUAACAUGAUUCAGACAGAUUUAAGCAUCGCUACGGGUGAGAAAGUCUCAUCGUAGUCAUCUCCUUGAACUUGUCAAAAACCUUUCGCGACAAGUCGAGCUUUGUAGACAGCAACAUUACCAUCAGCUUCAGUCUUCUUCUUGAAGAUCUAUUUAUUCUCUAUGGCUCACCGAUCAUUGUGCAAGUCCACCAAAUCCACACUUUGUUCUCAUACAUGGAUCUUAUCUCAAAUUUCAUGGCCUCAAGCCAUUUAUCGGAAUCUGGGCUCAUCAUGGCUUUGUCAUAGUUCGUAGGUUCGUCAUGGUCUAAUAACAUGACUUCCAGAACAAGAUUACCGUACCACUCUGGUGCAGAACAUGCUUUGUUCGACCUACGAGGUCCAGUAGUAACUUGAUCUGAAGUUUCAUGAUCAUCAUCAUUAGCUUCCUCUCUAGUUGGUGUAGGCACCACAAGAAUGGAUUUCUCUAAUGAGCUACUUUCCAAUUCGAGAGAAGGUAUAAUUACCUUGUUAAGUUCUACUUUCCUCCCACUCACUUCUUUUAAGAGAAACUCCUUCUCUAAAAUGUUUCCAUUCUUGGCAACAAAGAUCUUGCCUUCGGAUCUAUGGUAGAAGGUGUACCCAAUUGUUUAUUUAGGGUAUCUUAUGAAGACACACUUCUCCGAUUUGGGUUCGGGCUUAUCAGGCUGAAGCUCGCAACCCCAAACUUUAAUAAACGACAGCUUAGGUUUCUUGCCAAACCACAGUUCAUACGGUGUCGUCUCAACGGAUUUAGACGGUGCCCUAUUUAACGUGAAUGCAAUUGUCUCUAAUGCCUAACCCCAAAACAAUAGUGGUAAACCGGUAAGAGACAUCAUAGAUCACACCAUAUCUAAUAAAGUACGGUUACGACGUUCGAACACACCAUUACGUUGUGGUGUUCCAGGUGGCGCUAGUUGUGAAAUGAUACGUCCCCAACGUAUCUAUAAUUUUUGAUUGCUCCAUGCUAUAUUAUCUACUGUUUUGGAUGUUUAUGGGCUUUAUUAUACACUUUUAUAUCAUUUUUGGGACUAACCUAUUAACCCAGAGCCCAGUGCCAGUUUCUGUUUUUACCUUGUUUUAGGAUUUCGAAGAAAAGGAAAAUCAAAUGGAGUCCAAUUGACCUGAAACUUCACGGAACUCAUUUUUGGAAGGAAAGAAGCCCAGAAGACUCGGAGUGCACGUCGGGGGAUCUGCGAGGAGGUCACGAGGCAGGGGGCGCGCCCUCCACCCUCGUGAGCCCCUCGUGGCCCCCCUGGCGUACUUCUUCCGCCUAUAUAUCUCCAUAUACCCUAAAAACAUCCGUGAGCACAAUAGAUCGGGAGUUCCGCUGCCAUAAGCCUCCAUAGCCACCGAAAGCUAAUCUAGACCCGUUCCGGCACCCUGCGGGAGGGGGCAAUCCUUCUCCGGUGGCCAUCUUCAUCAUCCCGGUGCUCUCCAUGACGAGGAGGGAGUAGUUCUUCCUCGGGGCUGAGGGUAUGUACCAGUAGCUAUGUGUUUGAUCUCUCUCUCUCUCUCUCUCUCUCUCUCUCGUGUUCUUGAGGUGAUACGAUCUUGAUGUAUCGCGAGCUUUGCUAUUAUAUUUGGAUCCUAUGAUGUUUCUUUCCCCCUCUACUCUCUUGUAAUGAAUUUAGUUUUCCCUUUGAAGUUAUCUUAUCGGAUUAAGUCUUUAAAGAUUUGAGAACAUUUGAUGUAUGUCUUGCAGUGCGUAUCUGUGGUGACAAUGGGAUACCACGUGAUUCACUUGAUGUAUGUUUUGGUGAUCAACUUGCGGGUUCCGCCCAUGAACCUAUGCAUAGGGGUUGGCACGCGUUUUCGUCGUGAUUCUCCGGUAGAAACUUUGGGGCACUCUAUGAGGUUCUAUGUGUUGGUUGAAUAGAUGAAUCUGAGAUUGUGUGAUGCAUAUCGUAUAAUCAUACCCACGGAUACUUGAGGUGAAAUUGGAGUAUCUAGGUGACAUCAGGGUUUUGGUUGAUUUGUGUCUUAAGGUGUUAUUCUAGUAUGAACUCUAGGCUGUUUGUGACACUUAUAGGAAUAGCCCAACGGAUUGAUUGGAAAGAAUAACUUUGAGGUGGUUUCGUACCCUACCAUAAUCUCUUCGUUCGUUCUCCGCUAUUAGUGACUUUGGAGUGACUCUUUGUUGCAUGUUGAGGGAUAGUUAUGUGAUCCAAUUAUAUUAGUAUUGUCGAGGGAACUUACACUAGUGAAAGUAUGAACCCUAGGCCUUGUUUCCUAGCAUUGCAAUACCAUUUACGCUCACUUUUAUUAUUAGUUACGUUGCUGUUUUUAUAAUUUCAGAUUACAAAUACUAUUAUCUACUAUCCAUAUUGCACUUGUAUCACCAUCUCUUCGCCGAACUAGUGCACCUAUACAAUUUACCAUUGUAUUGGGUGUAUUGGGGACACAAGAGACUCUUUGUUAUUUGGUUGCAGGGUUGCUUGAGAGAGGCCAUCUUCAUCCUAUGCCUUCUACGGAUUGAUAAACUUUAGGUCAUCCACUUGAGGGAAAUUUGCUACUGUCCUACAAACCUCUGCACUUGGAGGGCCAACAACGUCUACAAGAAGAAGGUUGUGUAGUAGACAUCAAGCUCUUUUCUGGCACCGUUGCCGGGGAGGUUAGCGCUUGAAGGUAUAUCUUUAGAUCUUGCAAUCGAGUCUUUUAGUUUCUUGUUUUAUCACUAGUUUAGUUUAUAAAAGAAACUUACAAAAAAUGGAAUUAAGGUUACCUCAUAUGCUUCAUCUUUUUAAUGUCUUUCGUGAGAAUAAGGAUUCCGAUAAUUGUGCUCAAGUGCUAGAGGAAGAAUGCAUUAGAAUGUUUGGCAUUAAAUAUUUGAAUGAUGACCAUGAUUGCAAUGUUCUUAGUAUGAAUUCCUUGAAUAUCCAUGAUGCUAAUGAUAUGCAAAGCCACAAGCUUGGGGAAGCUAUGUUUGAUGAAGAUGAUAUUUUUUGUCCCCCAAGUUUUGAUGAGCAAAUUUAUUAUGAUGAAAGCAUGCCUCCUAUUUAUGAUGAUUAUUGUGAUGACACGUAUGCUUUAAAGAAUAAUGAUAACCAUGAAACUUGUCAUCUUGAUCUUAAUUUUCAAUCACAUGAUAGUUAUUUUGUUUUGUUUGCUUCCACUAUUAUUCAUGAGAAGAAUUUUGCUUGUGUGGAGAGUAGUAAAAUUUCUAUGCUUAUGCAUCAUGAAAACAAUGCUUUAGGUUCUGGUUAUAUUGUUGAAUUCAUUCAUGAUGCUACUGAAAAUUAUUAUGUGGGAGGAACAUAUGCUUGUAGAAAUUGCAAUAAUAUCAAGUUUCCUCUCUAUGUGCUUAAAAUCUUGAAGUUAUGCUUGUUUUGCUUUCCUAUGCUAGUUGAUUAUUGUUCCCAUAAAUUGUUUUCUCACAAAAUCCCUAUGCAUAGGAAGUAUGUUAGACUUAAAUGUGCUAGUCAUAUUCUUCAUGAUGCUCUCUUUAUGUUUCAAUUCUUAUCUUUUAUGUGAGCAUCAUUGAAAUCAUCAUGCCUAGCUAGGGGCAUUAAAUGAUAGCGCUUGUUGGGAGGCAACCCAAUUUUAUUUUAGUUCAUUGCUUUUUCUUCCUGUUUAGUAAUAAAUAAUUUAUCUAGCCUCUGUUAUGAUUGAGUUUUUAUGUUUUAAUUAGUGUUUGUGCCAAGUAGAACCGUUGGGAAGACUUGGGGAAAGUCUUGUUGAUCUUGCUGUAAAAAACAGAAACUUUAGCACGCACGAGGAUUGAUGCCAUUUUUAUUUGGAAAGUUAUAUUUAGUUAAUUCUUUUUGAGGAUUAUUAAUAUAUAAAUUCCUCAGGUCCAGCAAUUUAUUUGAGAAUUUUAUGAGUUCCAGAAGUAUACGUUUGAUUCAGAUUACUACAGACUGUUCUGUUUUUGACAGAUUCUGUUUUCAUUAUGUUAUUUACUUAUUUUGAUGAAUCUAUGGCUAGUAAAAUAGUUUAUAAACCAUAUAGAAGUUGGAAUACAGUAGGUUUAAUACCAAUAUAAAUAAAUAAUGAGUUCUUUACAGUACCUUGAAGUGGUGAUUUAUUUUCUUAUACUAACGGAGCUUACGAGUUUUCUGUUAAGUUUUGUGUUGUGAAGUUUUCAAGUUUUGGGUAAGGAUUCAAUGGACUAUGGAAUAAGGAGUGGCAAGAGCCUAAGAUUGGGGAUGACCAAGGCACCCCAAGGUAAUAUUCAAGGAUAGCCAAGAGCCUAAGCUUGGGGAUGCCCCGGAAGGCAUCCCCUCUUUCGUCUUCGUUCAUCGGUAACUUUACUUGGAGCUAUAUUUUUAUUCGCCACAUGAUAUGUGUUUUGCUUGGAGCGUCAAUUUAUUUUGUUAGAAUUUGCUUUCUGUUAUUUAGAACAAUGUUUUGCAUCUUUUAUUUCAAUAAAAGUGGCACUGAUAGUCUUUACUAUGCCUAUUUUAGAAGUCCACAUGUUGCUGUUUGAAAACAGAAAGUUUACCGCUGUUGCAAUAAUUCCCUAGAAAAUUCAGAAUGUGAGAAAAUGUUGAAACAUUUUUCAUAUUAAGCUCUGAUAAAUUUACUACAGUGGGAAUUUUCUUUCAUAAUUUUUGGAGCUAGGGAAAUAUGGAUGUUGCAGCAUGCUUUACAGACUAUCCUGUUUAGGUAGAUUGUUGUUAUGUUUGCAUUGUUUGCAUAUGUUUGCUUCUUUAAUGAUUCUAUUUGAGGAUAGGACUAUUAAAUAUGCAGAGGCAUUUAGUAUGCAAUGUUGAAUAAUAAUUUUAGUGAUUUUCUACAGUAGAGUAUGAUAAGGUUUUGGCAAUGGUUUAUACUAACUUAUCUCACGAGUCCUUGUUGAGUUUUGUGUGGAUGAAGCUUUUGAGAUUUAGGGAGACCUUGAUAUGAGAGGAAUUAAGGAGACACAAAAGCUUAAGCUUGGGGAUGUCCAAGGCACUCCAAGAUAAUAUUUCAAGAAGUCUCAAGCAUCUAAGCUUGCGGAUGCCCCGGUUGGCAUCCCACCUUUCUUCUUCAAUAAUUAUCGGUUAGUUUCGGUUGAUCUUAAGUUUUUACUUCUUCACAUGAUGUUUGCUAUUAUUAGAUGUCAUUUUAUUUUGCUUUGCUUGUUGUUUGAAUAGAAUACCAAGAUCUGAAAUUAUUAAAUGUUUGAGAGUCUUCACAUAGUUGCAUAAUUAUUCGACUACUCAUUGAUCUUCACUUAUAUCUUUCGGAGUAGUUUGUUGUUGCUCUAGUGCUUCACUUAUAUCUUUUAGAGCACGGUGGUGGAUUUGUUUUAUAGAAACUAUUGAUAUCUCAUGCUUCACUUAUAUUAUUUUAAGAGUCUUAAAUAGCAUGGUAAUUUGCUUAAAAUCCUAAUAUGCUAAGGUAUACAAGAUUAGAAAAACUUUCAUAUAGAGUAUUGAAUACUAAGAGAAGUUUGAUGCUUGAUGAUUGUUUUGAGAUAUGUAGGUAAUAAUAUCAAAGUCAUGCUAGUUGAGUAGUUGUGAAAUUGAGAAAUGCUUGUGCUGAAGUUUGCAAGUCCCGUAGCAUGCACGUAUGGUAAAUGUUGUGUAACAAAUUUAAAACAUGAGGUGUUAUUUGAUUGUCCUCCUUAUGAGUGGCAGUCGGGGAUGAGCGAUGGUCUUUUCCUACCAAUCUAUCCCCCUAGGAGCAUGCGCGUAGUGCCGAGGUUUUUGAUGACUUGUAGAUUUUUGCAGUAAGUAUGUGAGUUCUUUAUGACUAAUGUUGAAUCCAUGGAUUAUACACACUCUCACCCUUCCAUCCUUGCUAGCCUCUUCGGUACCGUGCAUUGCCCUUUCUCACAUUGAGAGUUGGCGCAAACUUCGCCGGUGCAUCCAAACCCCAUGAUAUGAUACGCUCUGUCACACAUAAACCUCCUUAUAUCUUCCUCAAAACAGCCACCAUACCUACCUAUUAUGGCAUUUCCAUAGCCAUUCCGAGAUAUAUUGCCAUGCAACUUUCCAUCAUUCCGUUCAUCAUGACACAUUCAUCAUUGUCAUAUUGCUUAGCAUGAUCAUGUAGUUGACAUAGUAUUUGUGGCAAAGCCACCGUUCAUAAUUCUUUCAUACAUGUCACUCUUGGUUCAUUGCAUAUCUCGGUACACCACCGGAGGCAUUCAUAUAGAGUCAUCUUUGUUCUAGUAUCGAGUUGUAAUCAUUGAGUUGUAAAUAAAUAGAAGUGUGAUGAUCAUCAUUAUUAGAGCAUUGUCCCAAGUGAGGAAUAAAAGAAAGGCCAUAAAAAAGGAGAGAAGGCCCCCAAAAAAGAAAGGCCAUAAAAAAAGAGAAGGCCCAAAAAAUGAGAGAAAAAGAGAGAAGGGACAAUGCUACUAUCCUUUUACCACACUUGUCAUAUUUCUUAAUCUUCAUGAUAGAGAGUCUCUCAUGUUAUCACUUUCAUAUACUAGUGGGAAUUUUUCAUUAUAGAACUUGGCUUGUAUAUUCAACAAUGGGCCUCCUCAAGUGCCCUAGGUCUUCGUGAGCAAGCAAGUUGGAUGCACACCAACUAGUUUCUUUUGUUGAGCUUUCAUACAUUUAUAGCUCUAGUGCAUCUGUUGCAUGGCAAUCCCUACUCCUUGCAUUAACAUCAAUCGGUGGGCAUCUCCAUAGCCCAUUGAUUAGCCUCAUUGAUGUGGGACUUUCUCCUUUUUUGUCUUCUCCACAUAACCCCCUCAUUAUUCUAUUCCACCCAUAGUGCUAUAUCCAUGGCUCGUGCUCAUGUAUUGCGUGAAAGUUUAUAGGUUUGAGAUUACUAAAGUAUGAAACAAUUGCUUGGCUUGUCAUAGGGGUUGUGCAUGAUGAGAGCAUUCUUGUGUGACAAAAAUGAAACAUGACUAAACUAUAUGAUUUUGUAGGGAUGAACUUUCUUUGGCCAUGUUAUUUUGAGAAGACAUAAUUGCUUAGUUAGUAUGCUUGAAGUAUUAUCAUUUUUAUGUCAAUAUGACUUUUGUCUUGAAUCUUUUGGAUCUGAAUAUUCAUACCACAAUUAAGAAGAAUCACAUUGAAAUUAUGCCAAGUAGCACUCCACAUCAAAAAUUCUAUUUUUAUCAUUUACCUACUCGACGACGAGCAGGAAUUAAGCUUGGGGAUGCUGAUACGUCUCCAACGUAUCUAUAAUUUUUGAUUGCUCCAUGCUAUAUUAUCUGCUGUUUUGGAUGUUUAUGGGCUUUAUUAUACACUUUUAUAACAUUUUUGGGACUAACCUAUUAACCCAGGGCCCAGUGCCAGUUUCUAUUUUUACCUUGUUUUAGGGUUUCGAAGAAAAGGAAAAUCAAAUGGAGUCCAAUUGACCUGAAACUUCACGGAACUCAUUUUUGGAAGGAAAGAAGCCCAAAAGACUUGGAGUGCACGUCACGGGAUCUGCGAGGAGGUCACGAGGCAGGGGGGCGCGCCCUCCACCCUCAUGAGCCCCUCGUGGCCCCCCUGACGUACUUCUUCCACCUAUAUAUCUCCAUAUACCCUAAAAACAUCUGUGAGCACAAUAGAUCGGGAGUUCCGCCGCCAAAAGCCUCCGUAGCCACCGAAAGCCAAUCUAGACCCGUUCCGGCACCCUGCCGGAGGGGGCAAUCCUUCUCCGGUGGCCAUCUUCAUCAUCCCGGUGCUCUCCAUGACGAGGAGGGAGUAGUUCUCCCUCGGGGCUGAGGGUAUGUACCAGUAGCUAUGUGUUUGAUCUCUCUCUCUCUCAUGUUCUUGAGGUGAUACGAUCUUGAUAUAUCGCGAGCUUUGCUAUUAUAUUUGGAUCCUAUGAUGUUUCUUUCCCCUCUACUCUCUUGUAAUGAAUUGAGUUUUCCCUUUGAAGUUAUCUUAUCGGAUUAAGUCUUUAAAGAUUUGAGAACACUUGACGUAUGUCUUGCCGUGCGUAUCUGUGGUGAUAAUGGGAUACCACGUGAUUCACUUUUUGUAUGUUUUGGUGAUCAACUUGCGGGUUCCGCCCAUGAACUUAUGCAUAGGGGUUGGCACACGUUUUCAUCAUGAUUCUCCGGUAGAAACUUUGGGGCACUCUUUGAGGUUCUAUGUGUUGGUUGAAUAGAUGAAUCUGAGAUUGUGUGAUGCAUAUCGUAUAAUCAUGCCCACGGAUACUUGAGGUGACAUUGGAGUAUCUAGGUGACAUUAGGGUUUUGGUUGAUUUGUGUCUUAAGGUGUUAUUCUACUACGAACUCUAGGGCUGUUUGUGACACUUAUAGGAAUAGCCCAACAGAUUGAUUGGAAAGAAUAACUUUGAGGUGGUUUCGUACCCUACCAUAAUCUCUUCGUUCGUUCUCCGCUAUUAGUGACUUUGGAGUGACUCUUUGUUGAAUGUUGAGGGAUAGUUAUGUGAUCCAAUUAUGUUAGUACUAUUGAGGGAACUUACACUAGUGAAAGUAUGAACCCCAGGCCUUGUUUCCUAGCAUUGCAAUACCGUUUACGCUCACUUUUAUCAUUAGUUACCUUGCUGUUUUCAUAAUUUCAGAUUACAAAUACUAUUAUCUACUAUCCACAUUGCACUUGUAUCACCAUCUCUUCGCCGAACUAGUGCACCUAUACAAUUUACCAUUGUAUUGGGUGUGUUGGGGACACAAGAGACUCUUUGUUAUUUGGUUGCAGGUUUGCUUGAGAGAGACCAUCUUCAUCCUACGCCUCCUACGGAUUGAUAAAUGUUAGGUCAUCCACUUGAGGGAAAUUUGCUACUAUCCUACAAACCUCUGCACUUGGAGGCCCAACAACGUCUACAAGAAGAAGGUUGUGUAGUAGACAUCAUGAAACAGUUCCACAUUGUUUUAAAAAAAGGCCAAACUCGUAACUCAAAUAUUUACCUCUGUGAUCAGACCGUAGAAACUUUAUUUUCUUAUUACGAUGAUUCUUCACUUCACUCUGAAAUUCUUUGAAGUUUUCAAAUAUUUUAGACUCGUGUUUCAUUAAGUAGAUAUACCCAUACUUACUCAAAUCAUCUGUGAAGGUCAGAAAAUAACGAUACCCGCCGCGUGUUUCAACACUCAUCGGACCGCAUACAUCGGUAUGUAUUAUUUUCAAUAUGUCAUUAGCUCGCUCCAUUGUUCUGGAGAACGGAGUUUUAGUCAUCUUGCCCAUGAGGCAUGACUCGCAAGUAUCAAAUGAUUCAUAAUCAAGUGAUUCCAAAAGUCCAUCUGCAUGGAGUUUCUUCAUGCUUUUUACACCAAUAUGACCUAAACGGUAGUGCCACAAAUAUGUUGCACUAUCAUUAUCAACUUUGCAUCUUUUGGCAUCAAUAUAAUGAAUAUGUAUAUUACUACGAUCGAGAUUUAAUCAACCAUUUACAUUGGGUGUAUGACCAUAGAAGGUUUUAUUCAUGUAAACAGAAUAAUACUUUCUCUAAUUUAAAUGAAUAACCGUAUUGCAAUAAACAUGAUCUAAUCAUAUUCAUGCUCAACGCAAACACCAAAUAACAUUUAUUUAGGUUCAACACUAAUCCCGAAGGUAGAGGGAGUGUGCGAUGGUGAUCAUAUCAACCUUGGAAUCAUUUUCAACACACAUCGUCACCUUGCUUUUAACUAGUCUCAACAACUCAUGUUUCGAGUUACUAAUCUUAGCAACUAAACCGGUAUCAAAUACCCAGUGAUUACUUCAAACAUUAGUAUAAUACACAUCAAUAAUAUGUAUAUCAAAUAUACCUUUGUUCACUUUGCCAUCCUUCUUAUUUGCCAAGUUUUUGGGGCAGUUCCACUUCUAGUGACCAUUUCCUUCGGAGUAGAAGCACUCAGUUACAGGCUUGGGUCCAGCUUUUGGCUUCUUCACGGGAGUGGCAACUUGCUUGCCAUUCUUCUUGAAGUUCCCUUUUCUUCCCUUGCCUUUUUUCUUGAAACUAGUGGUCUUGUUAACCAUCAACACUUGAUGCUCUUUCUUGAUUUCUACCAUUGCCGAUUUUCAGUAUCGUGAAGAGCUCGGGAAUCAUUUUUGUCAUCCCUUGUAUAUUAUAGUUCAUCACGAAGUUCUAGUAGCUUGGUGAUAGUGACUAGAGAACUUUGUCAUUCACUAUCUUAUCUGGAAGAUUAACUCCCAUUUGAUUCAAGCGAUUGUAGUACCCAAACAUUCUGAGCACAUGCUCACUGGUUGAGCUAUUCUCCUCCAUCUUGUUGGCAAAGUACUUGUCAGAGGUCUCAUACCUUUCGACACGGGCAUCAGUCUGAAAUACCAAUUUUUAGGUCUUGGAACAUCUCAUAUGCUCCAUGGCAUUCAAAACGUUUUUGAAGUUCCGGAUCUAAGCCGUAAAGAAUGACACACUAAACUAUCAAGUAGUCAUCAUAUCAAGUUUGUCAAACGUUCAUAAUGUCUGCAUCUGCUUGUAACAUCCCAAAAUUCUAAAUUUUGGAAUGUUAUAUUAAAUAAAUAAUUCUGAUUUGUUUGUUUGAUUGUUGAGUGAUUGAUUGUGUGAAAUUGAGUGGAAUUUGAAACUUUUUGAAAGUUUAAUGAGAGGGAAUGAAAUGACUUUCCUAGGCUUUCUUUUUGACUUUUGAUCUCUGGGGAUUCAAAUUCAUUUUAUCAUCAUAACACUAGUGUGAAGAUGACAUGACUUCUUCCAUUUGAAAUGAAAAGGGUUUUUGAAAAAAAGAGAAUAUUUGAAUUCCAUCUGAAAGUAUUUCAAAUUCAUAAACUUUAUGCAACUCAUUGAUUUUCAUGAGGGAAGAUAAAAUGACUUCUUCAAAGUAUAUGAAAUAUGAGUUGGAAGUAUGAAGAAAGGUUUGAAUUUUUUUAAAUUCAAAACCAUUUGGAGUUAUUUGGUUUAUUUCGAAUUAUUUUUCUCCAAAAUUAAACUAUAUGGAAAAUAGGGUCAAAUGAUUCCCUACAUUAUAAAAAUGGAGAAAAUUUAGUUUGAAAUAAUUUUGGUAUCUUAAUGUAAUUUUAUUUGAAUUUUAAUUGCAUCAGUAGCACUUUUUCAUUUAUUAGAAUUUAUGUGAAUUUUAUUUCACCAUGUAAAAAUGUUCAUGUUGUAGGAUUUAUUCUUCCUGUCAUUUUGAUAUAUAAUAUGUCUAUAUAAAAGUAUUAUUGUUUUUCCUUUAUCUAGUUUUCUUGUCUGUGCUUUAUAAAAAAAAAUUAGCCGAAGCCAAUGGACCAAGGGCCCACCUAAUUUUGUCUCUCUCGCUCUCCCUCGGCCCAUCUACGCGCCAGGCUGGUGUGACGCCCGGGUAAUUAGGCUACAGUAACCCCACGCUAAUCGUGCCAUGACACCUCGGUUACUGUUGCUGUCCUCGCAAUAAUUCAAAAUCGUUCAAAAUUCAAAUUCAAAUUUAUGACAAGAAUAUAAGUUUUCAAAAAUUAAAACAAAAAUGUUCGGUGGUUGCCGAAUAUUACAAGGGUAAUUAUGGGGCAACAAACAACUUUUUAUAAAAUGGCUAAAUGGUUUAAAAUGAUUUAAAUAGAAAAGAAAGAAAUAAUAAAAGAAAACAGAAAACAAACAAACAAAAAAAAGGAAAAGGAAAAGAACCCCCCCCCCCCGGGCCAGCCGACCCAACUGGCCGGCCCAUUCGACCACCNNNNNNNNNNNNNNNNNNNNNNNNNNNNNNNNNNNNNNNNNNNNNNNNNNNNNNNNNNNNNNNNNNNNNNNNNNNNNNNNNNNNNNNNNNNNNNNNNNNNNNNNNNNNNNNNNNNNNNNNNNNNNNNNNNNNNNNNNNNNNNNNNNNNNNNNNNNNNNNNNNNNNNNNNNNNNNNNNNNNNNNNNNNNNNNNNNNNNNNNNNNNNNNNNNNNNNNNNNNNNNNNNNNNNNNNNNNNNNNNNNNNNNNNNNNNNNNNNNNNNNNNNNNNNNNNNNNNNNNNNNNNNNNNNNNNNNNNNNNNNNNNNNNNNNNCCCCCUCGCUCCCCCCGAUCUGGAUCGGGGGAAAAGGCGCCCCGACGCCGCUCGACACCCCCCGCUGCCGUCGCGCACCAUGGCGCCUCCGCCCUCGUCGCCGAACCCCGACGCCGCACGGUUCUGCCCCGCCGUCGCCGAGAGCCGCCCCAUCCCCGUCGCCACGCCGGACGCCCCGACCUCGCCGACGGACGCCGCUCGCCGGAGCCCCUCCACAUCGCCUUGCCUCCUCAUCGGCCCCGUCAAGCCUCGCCGGACGUCCUCAUCCGCUCCAUCGUCGGACGACCCCAACCUUCCCCGAGCCCGCUGCCCGUGCCCUACUCCCUCCCCUGUGAGCUCCCCCUCUCCUCGUCCGUCGCCGCGGUCACCGCAAUCUGCGCACGCCCCUGGCCAUCGCCCUGUACGCGCGCCGCCCGUGCUCACCGCGGCCUCGUCUCGCCCGGCGUACCGUCGCGCCGAGCCGCACCCGCAGUGCUUCUCCUUCCCUGAGUGCUCGCACCUGCCGUGGCCCGCACCACCGCAGCCCCCCGCUACCUCCAACGCGACCACCACCGUCGCUGCUGGCCACCCUUGGCCUCGCCUUCGGCCCCACGCCGGCGAUCCCGCGACCGGAUGGCCACGGCCUCGCCCCGCAACUGGGCGGGCUACGGCCUCCGCCCGGCGCCCACACCCGUUGCCCGCACACCCGCUAGACCUUUGGCCCACUGACAAAGGGGCCCCAGCCCCAGAACAAUAAUGUUUCAAAAAAAAGAGAAUUAAAAAUAAUAAUUAAUAAUAAAAAAAUAAUUAACUAAUUAACUAAUUAAUUAAUUAAAGAAUUAAUUAACUUAAUUAAUUGUGUUUAACUAACCUAAUCAAUUAACUAAACUAAUUAAACCUGUUUAGUUAGUCAUAGACAAUGACAGUAGGACCCAGAUGUCAGUUUGACUAGGUCAACUGACUAGUUGACCGCGGACACAAUAAUGACGUCAUGCUGACAUCACAAGUCACUGUUUUGGAUAAUUCAGAUCUAAAAAAAAUUAAAUUAAUUCUAGAAAAUAGAUAAAUCUUUAAAAAUUAAUAUAAAAUAAACUGUAACUCGGAUUAAAUUAUUUUCAACAUGAAAGUUGCUCAGAACGACGAGACAAAUCCGGAUACGCAGCCCGUUCGUCCGCCAUGCAUCCCUAGCAUAGCGAACACACAACUUUCCUCCUCCGGUUCGUUUGUCCGAAAACGCGAAACACCGGGGAUAAUUUCCCGGAUGUUUCCCCCCUUCAUCGGUACCACCUCGUACCGCGUUAGGGCACACCUAGCAUCACGCUUUGUCAUGUCAUGCAUCGUCCUCCAUUUGUUUGCAUUAUAUUUAUUGUUUCUUCCCCCUCUUCUCUUGCUAGACACCGAGACCGACGCCGCUGCUACCCAGUACGACUACAGUGUUGACGACCACUCUCUCUUGCCAGAGCAACCAGGCAAGCCCCCCCUUGAUCACCAGAUAUCGCCUACUCUCCUCUAUACUGCUUGCAUUAGAGUAGUGUAGCAUGUUACUGCUUUCCGUUAAUCCUAUUCUGAUGCAUAGCCUGUCAUUGUUACUACUGUUGUUACUCUACCUGCAAUCCUAAAUGCUUAGUAUAGGAUGCUAGUGUUCCAUCAGAGGCCCUACACUCUUGUCCGUCUGCCAUGCUAUACUACUGGGCCGUGAUCACUUCGGGAGGUGAUCACGGGCAUAUACUAUGCAUUACACCGUUACAUUACUGGUGAUACUGUUUGGAGAUGGGGGCUGAAGGGGCAGGUGGCUCCAUCCAGGUAGUGGUGGGCCUGAGUUCCCGACAGCCCCCGACUGUUACUUUGUGGCGGAGCGACAGGGCAGGUUGAGACCACCUAGGAGAGAGGUGGGCCUGGCCCUGGUCGGUGUUCGCGGAUACUUAACACGUUUAACGAGAUCUUGGUAUUUGAUCUGAGUCUAGCUAUUGGCCUAUACGCACUAACCAUCUACGCGGGGACAGUUAUGGGCACUCGGCGUCGUGGUAUCAGCCGAAGCCUUCGUGACGUCAGCAACGAAGCGGCGCGCGCUAGAUUGGACUGGAACUCCUACUAGGCUAGGUCUGCUUCCGGCCGCCCACGCAACGUGCAGGUGUGCUAAGGGCGAUGGGCCCAGACCCCUGGGCGCUUAGGUUUAGACCGGCGUGCUGACCUCUCUGUUGGUCUAGGUGGGGAUGCGACGUGUUGAUCUUCCGAGGCCGGGCAUGACCCAGAAAAGUGUGUCCAGCCAAAUGGAAUCGAGCGUGUUGGGUUAUGUGGUGCACCCCUGCAGGGAAGUUAAUCUAUUCGAAUAGCCGUGAUCUUCGGUAACAGGACGACUUGGAGUUGUACCUUGACCUUAUGACAACUAGAACCGAAUACUUAAUAAAACACACCCUUCCAAGUGCCAGAUACAACCGGUGAUCGCUCUCUCAUAGGGCAACGAGGGGAGGAUCAUUGGUUAGGAUUAUGCUACGUGAUGAUACUUGGAGGACUUCAGUCUACUCUCUUCUACAUGCUGCAAGACGGAGGCUGCCAGAAGCGUAGUCUUCGAAAGGACUAGCUAUCCCCCUCUUAUUCCGGCAUUCUGCAGUUCAGUCCACAUAUGAUAGCCUUAUUCCAGUUGAUACCAAUGCAUACAUAUGUAGUGUAGCUCCUUGCUUGCGAGUACUUUGGAUGAGUACUCAUGGUUGGUUUCUCCUUCUUUUUCCUCUAUCCCUUCUACCUGGUUGUCGAAACCAGAUGUUGGAGCCCAGGAGCCUGACGCCACCGUCGACGACGACUCCUACUACACCGGAGGUGCCUACUACUACGUGCUGCCCGCUGACGACGACCAGGAGUAGUUAGGAGGAUCCCAGGCAGGAGGCCUGUGCCUCUUUCGAUCUGUAUCCCAGUUUGUGCUAGCCUUCUUAAGGCAAACUUGUUUAACUUAUGUCUGUACUCAGAUAUUGUUGCUUCUGCUGACUCGUCUAUGAUCGAGCUCUUGUAUUCGAGCCCUCGAGGCCCUUGGCUUGUAAUAUGAUGCUUGUAUGACUUAUUUUAUUUGUAGAGUUGUGUUGUGAUAUCUUCCCGUGAGUCCCUGAUCUUGAUCGUACACGUUUGCGUGUAUGAUUAGUGUACGGUCAAACCGGGGGCGUCACAAGUUGGUAUCAGAGCCGACUGCCUGUAGGAAUUCCCCUUCCACACUCCUUGGACGAAGUUGAGUCUAGACAUUACAAAACUUUUACUAACAUGGCUGUGUGCCUUACGGGCCCACGUCGCCAUUGGGUGGUAUUAGGAUCUUUUAUUCCUCGUCUAUACUCUGGGAUUCUGACUCUCUCCUACUCGGGUUAAAUGAUUUUGCUAAAAUCUAACUCUAAGUUCUCGUUACCACUUCCUGCCGAAGAGCCCCUUCAUUACAGAUGAUUGACUGAUUCAACAGAAGAUUCUGACAAUACUCUCCGAUGUUCUCCCGAAACCUUAUGCCAUUGCUUUUGCAAUUCCCUACCACCGAAAUAUCCCUAUGGAUAAGUAUUUAGACCUGUCGUGCUUAAUUUUAUUCCCAGUCGAUCUUGUUAUUAUAAGAUACCCCGAGAAUACUUUGUGCCUACUGCCUUGCAAUUCUUUGCCACAUGCAUACCACUACGGAUUAUUACUCGCAUUUAUCGAGUAUCCGCUCAUCCCCAGAUAUUCAUGCAAUUCACCAAAUUCUUCAAAAUACCAUUCGGUCUUCCAAAAAUCCCGAGCAACCUAUUGCUCCUGAAAUUCUUGCUUGCUUGCAUUAUGGUUAAUCCCAUAAGUAUAGUAAUCUUAUUGGCAACCUUUGUCAAUAUCAUUUUGAGUCCAUUGACUCAAUAUGUUGCGAAUGCUCGCAAUCCUCACUUAGAUCAUAGAAUUCAUCCUUCCAGCUCAGAUGUCAUUUAAAACAUGAGCUGGUCCUCGGCCAAUCAGAUUGCCAUCGAUUUUACCCCUAAGUCUAUUCAACUUGUCCGUCCUUGAUCAGAGCGUUUGCUCCUGAUCCCUUGAUUUGAAAUUCAUAAUUCCUUUGUUAUUUAAACGUUGAAUUAUUCAGAUGUUCUGUAAAACGAUGCAUUUGCAUUCUUUCUUCCUCUGAUUGGGUAUCGAUACUCACAUCAGCUCCAUUGUGGAUCACCAUAUCCACUGUUGGAUUAUUAUCCGACAAUGUCCUUCAUAAUUAAUCACCUUGUGAGUUCUUUCUCCGAUACAUAAUGCCUUUGGUAAUUUGUAUCCUCUCCUUUUGCCAACCAUGCUCUGCUUUCGAGCUGGUAAUAUUUACUCUCAAAGCUUGUGGUAUAUGUUUCCACGAUACCCUGACGGGUUGAACCUAUGCCUUCCUUAAUUUGUGUGACCUCGAAAGUUAUGCGGGUUAUACCCUGCUGACGCUUCGUUAGAUAACUUUUCAACACUACAACUUCGAAAAGGGGAGGUAAAUGUAAGGUUAUGCAUUGAAGAAGUGGGAGUCGACCUUGAACUUUGUGUUCAUGCCCAUGGAAAUGAUGUAGAUCUUAUCAUGAAAGCUUCUCUUAAAUUAAUUACUCCCAUGGUAUAAGUUCAUAUUAUAUCUGGGAUCUGGCCUUUUGCAAUCGUGGUUUCGACCAUGUUCUCUUUUAGGUACCGUUUCUCAAGCAAGUUUAAGCACUUGUCUUCUGCAGAGCAAUACCCCAGUCCAACCUCUACUUUGAUCUGUCAUCGAGUAUUACCCCCUGGUAUCUCGAGGAUACCACGGAAUACAUAACUUCUUAUGAGUUCUUCAUCAACUAAUAUUCUUGCCGAUUCCAUUUUUCCAACGGGUUCUCAGUUGUUAGAACCCCUCAAGGACACCGACAACUGAAUUGAGUCCGCACUACAAUUCAACAACUCUUGGUAACCUUCAUUACUUACGAGUCUGAACUCGAUCACGUCAUUCCGAGCCUACUCGGCUAUAUCAUUAUCGUGCCAAAUUUUAACUGUGCUACCUGGUCCUUCUUUCCGGAGCACAAUUUCGACGAUGGGCUAAGCUUACGUCGAUCUUCCUUGUCUUAUCGUUUCACCUCAAACAACAAACUUGAUUUCAAGUUUGUGUCGUACCCAUGGUUCCAAUAACCUUUCGCUUCAUCAUUCGUUUGACUUGAUGUCAUCGUCGACCGAUUACAUCUCCAUGAAACCUCUCGACAGAAAUUGUCAUGAUCAUCAUCAACAUUUCGAGCUCCUCAAGGAUAUCAAUUGAAUUCCUGAUGAGAAAUACCAUCCUUGCCCUCGAUGAUUUGUGUUAUCAUCGACCACUCGAUUGCCUUCCGUUCAGCACAAACUUGUUCGUGUUUUGUGUUAUACCUUGAGAUCCUUGCUAUCCAGCAUUUGUUCUCCUUUACUUUGGAGUAUUACCAUCUUUUAUGUAAAGAAUGUUGUGAUAAUUUCACCACCUCUUAAGAAUUCUUGGUAUCGUGAUACUUCUCACCAUCACCAUUCUUUCUUGGUCCUCGUGUUGAUUCCAACCGGGGUACCAACAAGUGAACGGUGUUGUUUGGAUUCUGCACUUCUAGCAACCCUAUUGCUUUGAAGUUAAUGGUCGGCCGUUCAUUCUUAGACUAUAUAUUAUCGAAUCACCAUUCUGAUAUUGGUCAUGCAACCCAACCCAUAUUUUGGGUGCACCUUUCAACCAAUGUUUAAUUGUGUAUGUUUUCCACGAGCAUAUUUCCUUAUAUCAUUUGAUCUGACAAAUGUUAUCUCCUUGUUCACUUAAUUGUGGAAAUCCAUCUUUUGGAAAUCUCGAUGAAUUGCCGUUGAGUUCACCAGAGACCUCCUUGUCCUCUCCUUGGAUUAGUGAUGAACUCUUGUUAAAGGAUAUCACUUCAUAGUUCAUUUCCCGAGUAUCUUACAUUGUCAUCUCGUCAAUUGUGUUGCACCUUUUCUUCUCAGGCUUACUAAGUCGGAGGUAUCCUGGCACUAAUCAGAUCUGAAUCUAGGUCAGGUAUGAUGGUUGGAACAUAUUUCCAAGAGUUACAACAAUGGUCCUUAUGUGACCCGGUAAGGUCAUGUCAUGCCUAGCACACCUGGCUGGAGGCCCAAUUGUUAUAGUUUCCCUUUUCAGCCAGGCUAUCCUUUCUUCCAUGAGGAAAUUGUAAGACUUAUUCUAUAAGUUCUUCCUGAUGGACCCUUUUUGUUUCCAAAGUUUGAACUUGCUUGAAGACCAUGCAAUGCUAUCUCGAAGCAUGUUUGUGGUACUCCGAUUUUCAACAAGGACAUUUGAAGCCAAUGCUAAAUGUUUCCUGCUAAAUUAUCCAAACACCGCUGUAUGGGUAAUGUCAUGAAAUUUCUCUCCCCUACCUAAAGAGUUUUUCUACGUUAUAUCCUAUCAUGGAUAUCAUGCUCUGCUUGUCCUUGGGAAGGAUAUACCCCUGAAAGAUGUUUUUAAACACAUUUUUCCUUUCCAUUGUUCUGUUUAACCUGAGGAUCACAUUUUCCUUUCCAUUGGUUUGUUUAACCUUUCUUGUGAUCUAUAUGAUCUAAACAGUAAGAUUCUUCUGCUCAUGUAAACACAUCGGUGUACAAUUCUGUCAGCAAGACCCUGUUACUAUUGUUUAUGACAUUCCGGUAGCCACCGAUGGAUGAGAACUUUGCCUAUUGGUCCGCCUCGUUCAAUGAGCAGGAAAAUGGUUCUCUUCGUCCCUCGCCCUUGGUACCGACGCUGUUGCCAACACAACUGGCAGGCUACCCUCUGACAUGCCUUAUCUACAUGAUCGUGCAAGGCAUCACCGCCCUUCCUACUUUUACCCCACAUGGUGGGCCCAUAACCCACAGUUCCACGGGAUCGAAACCUGACUCUCCUGUACACCCUGUUGUCAAACUUAUUCCCCACGCUUGACUUCGUAUGUAAUUCAUGGGCCACCUGCCUAGUGAUCUAUUCUGGUAUCAGGCGCAAUACUUAUUCCCAUUGCUCUGAACCCCUUUCACAUUUCGUAUCAUGCAACAAAUGAUUGCCUAUCCACUUGAAACUUCUUAUUGCACCUUCGUACCUUGCUCUCGAUAUUUUCUUCAGUUUCAAUUUGAGAGUUACUUUCUACCACCUUCCCCGAUGUUAUCGACCAGGUAGUCAACCUUGUAGAGGUCUGCUCUCUUGGAAUAACCACCCUUUAUUCUUUCGUAAGAAUGUUGGAGAUCCUGAAGAAAGGACGACAAUUUCAUCAUGAUGCGAUGAAGCAGAGAAAUGAAGACGUCCAUGUAAGGGAUCGACCUCUUCGAGAAGAGCAACCAAGACCGAGAAGAUCCGUUAGAAUUUCACAACCACAAAUUUCCCCCUUACACCACCUCUUAAAUCUCGGGACGAGAUUUCUUGUAGUGGAGGAGAAUUGUGACGCCCGGGUAAUUAGGCUACAAUAAUCCCAUGCUAAUCGUGCCACGACACCUCGGUUACUGUUGCUGUCCUCGCAAUAAUUCGAAACCGUUCAAAAUUCAAAUUCAAAUUUAUGACAAGAAUAAAAGUUUUCAAAAAUUAAAACAAAAAUGUUUGGUGGUUGCCGAAUAUUACAAGGGUAAUUAUGGGGCAACAAACACCUUUUUAUAAAAUGGCUAAAUGGUUUAAAAUGAUUUAAACAGAAAAGAAAGAAAUAAUAAAAGAAAACAGAAAACGAACAAACAAAAAAAAGGGAAAAGGAAAAGAACCCCCCCGGGCCAGCCGACCCAACCGGCCGGCCCAUUCGACCACCGGCCCAACUGGACAAAGGCCCAGCCGGCCACCCCACUCCCCCAUAACCCCAACCCCUGGUCAAACCCUAACCCAACCACCCGCACCCCUCACGCCGUUCCCCCCUCCCGAUCCAAUCUGGAUCGGGGACGAGACCCCCACUCGCCCCACCCCGCUCGCCCCCCUCGCUCCCCCUGAUCUGGAUCGGGGGAAAAGGCGCCCCGACGCCGCUCAACACCCCCCGCUGCUGUCACGCACCAUGGCGCCUCCGCCCUCGUCGCCGAACCCCGACGCCACCCGGUUCUGCCCCGCCGUCGCCGAGAGCCGCCCCAUCCCCGUCGCCACGCCGGAUGCCCCGACCUCGCCGACGGACGCCGCUCGCCGGAGCCGCUCCACGUCGCCUCGCCUCAUCAUCGGCUCCGUCAGGCCUCGCCGGACGUCCUCAUCCUCUCCAUCGUCGGACCACCCCAACCUUCCCCGAGCCCGCUGCCCGUGCCCUACUCCCUCCCCUGUGAACUCCCACUCUCCUCGUCCGUCGCCGCGGUCACCGCACUCUGCGCAUGCCCCUGGCCAUCGCCCUGUACGCGCACCGCCCGUGCUCACCGCGGCCUCGUCUCGCCUGGCGUACCGUCGCGCCGAGCCACACCCGCAGUGCUUCUCCUUCCCGGAGCGCUCGCAUCUGCCGUGGCCCACACCACCGCAGCCCCCUGCUACCUCCGACGCGACCACCACCGCCGCUGCUGGCCACCCUUGGCCUCGCCUUCGGCCCCAUGCCGGCGACCCCGUGACCGGAUGGCCACGGCCUCGCCCCGCAACCGGGCGGGCUACGGCCUCCGCCCGGCGCCCACACCCGUUGCCCGCACACCCGCGAGACCUUUGGCCCACUCACAAAGGGGCCCCAGCCCUAGAACAAUAAUGUUUUAAAAAAAGAGAAUUAAAAAUAAUAAUUAAUAAUAAAAAAUAAUUAACUAAUUAACUAAUUAAUUAAUUAAUUAAUUAAAGAAUUAAUUAACUUAAUUAAUUGUGUUUAACUAACCUAAUCAAUUAACUAAACUAAUUAAACCUGUUUUGCUAGUCAUAGACAAUGACAGUAGGACCCACAUGUCAGUUUGACUAGGUCAACUGACUAGUUGACCGCUGACACAAUAAUGACGUCAUGCUGACAUCACAAGUCACUGUUUUGGAUAAUUCGGAUUUAAAAAAAUAAAUUAAUUCUAGAAAAUAGAUAAAUCUUUAAAAAUUAAUAUAAAAUAAACCGUAACUCGGAUUAAAUUAUUUUCAACAUGAAAGUUGCUCAGAACGACGAGGCGAAUCCGGAUACGCAGCCCGUUCGUCCGCCACGCAUCCCUAGCAUAGCGAACACACAACUUUCCCCCUCCGGUUCGUCUGUCCGAAAACGCGAAACACCGGGGAUAAUUUCCCGGAUGUUUCCCCCCUUCACCGGUACCACCUCGUAUCGCGUUAGGGCACACCUAGCAUCACGCUUUGUCAUGUCAUGCAUCGUCAUGCAUUUGUUUGCAUUAUAUUUAUUGUUUCUUCCCCCUCUUCUCUCGCUAGACACCGAGACCGACGCUGCUGCUACCCAGUACGACUACAGUGUUGACGACCACUCUCUCUUGCCAGAGCAACCAGGCAAGCCCCCCCCCUUGAUCACCAGAUAUCGCCUACUCUCCUCUAUACUGCUUGCAUUAGAGUAGUGUAGCAUGUUACUGCUUUCCGUUAAUCCUAUUCUGAUGCAUAGACUGUCAUUGUUACUACUGUUGUUACUCUUCCUGCAAUCCUAAAUGCUUAGUAUAGGAUGCUAGUGUUCCAUCAGAGGCCCUACACUCUUGUCCGUCUGCCAUGCUAUACUACUGGGCCGUGAUCACUUCGGGAGGUGAUCACGGGCAUAUACUAUGCAUUACACCGUUACAUUACUGGUGAUACUGUUUGGAGAUGGGGGCUGAAGGGGCAGGUGGCUCCAUCCAGGUAGUGAUGGGCCUGAGUUCCCCACAGCCCCCGACUGUUACUUUGUGGCGGAGCGACAGGGCAGGUUGAGACCACCUAGGAGAGAGGUGGGCCUGGCCCUGGUCAGUGUUCACGGAUACUUAACACGUUUAACGAGAUCUUGGUAUUUGAUCUGAGUCUGGCUAUUGGCCUAUACGCACUAACCAUCUACGCGGGGAUAAUUAUGGGCACUCGACGUCGUGGUAUCAGCCGAAGCCUUCAUGACGUCAGCAACGGAGCGGCGCGCGCUGGAUUGGACUAGAACGCCUACUAGGCUAGGUCUGCUUCCGGCCGCCCACGCAACAUGCAGGUGUGCUAAGGGCGAUGGGCCCAGACCCCUGGGCGCUUAGGUUUAGACCGGCGUGCUGACCUCUCUGUUGGUCUAGGUGGGGCUGCAACGUGUUGAUCUUCCGAGGCCGGGCAUGACCCAGAAAAGUGUGUCCGGCCAAAUGGGAUCGAGCGUGUUGGGUUAUGUGGUGCACCCCUACAGGGAAGUUAAUCUAUUCGAAUAGCCGUGAUCUUCGGUAACAGGACGACUUGGAGUUGUACCUUGACCUUAUGACAACUAGAACCGGAUACUUAAUAAAACACACCCUUCCAAGUGCCAGAUACAACCGGUGAUCGCUCUCUCACAGGGCGACGAGGGGAGGAUCAUCAGUUAGGAUUAUGCUACGUGAUGAUACUUGGAGGACUUCAGUCUACUCUCUUCUACAUGCUGCAAGACGGAGGCUGCCAGAAGCGUAGUCUUUGAAAGGACUAGCUAUCCCCCUCUUAUUCCGGCAUUCUGCAGUUCAGUCCAAAUAUGAUAGCCUUAUUCCAGUUGAUACCAAUGCAUACAUAUGUAGUGUAGCUCCUUGCUUGUGAGUACUUUGGAUGAGUACUCACGGUUGCUUUCUCCUUCUUUUCCCUCUAUCCCUUCUACCUGGUUGUCGCAACCAGAUGUUGGAGCCCAGGAACCCGACGCCACUGUCGACGACGACUCCUACUACACCGGAGGUGCCUACUACUACGUGCUGCCCGCUAACGACGACCAGGAGUAGUUAGGAGGAUCCCAGGCAGGAGGCCUGCGCCUCUUUCGAUCUGUAUCCCAGUUUGCGCUAGCCUUCUUAAGGCAAACUUGUUUAACUUAUGUCUGUACUCAGAUAUUAUUGCUUCCGCUGACUCGUCUAUGAUCGAGCCCUUGUAUUCGAGCCCUUGAGGCCCGUGGCUUGUAAUAUGAUGCUUGUAUGACUUAUUUUAUUUGUAGAGUUGUGUUGUGAUAUCUUCCCGUGAGUCCCUGAUCUUGAUCGUACACGUUUGCGUGUAUGAUUAGUGUACGGUCAAACCGGGGGCGUCACAGCUGGCCCAGCAGCCACGCGCACGCCCGCAGCCCCUUCGCCUCGGUCGCCCGCUCCCUCCUCGCUCGCCCUGUGCCGCUGACCGCUCGGGCCCACUGCCCGAUCGCCCCGCCCGCAUCUUCCUCUUCUUCCUCCCCACGCCAGAACCACCGCCGCUGCCGCCGUAUCCCGGAGAUCACGGGAUCCUCCCCCGAUUUGCCCCCUCCACCAAGGAAACCCCUCCCCCCUAUAUAUAUACCCCUCCCAUCACCCCGUUCUACCCCUUCCUGACCCCCGAACCCCUCUCCAUCGCCUGCAAUCCCUCGCCGGAGCCCGAGCUCCGCCGCCACACCAUUGCCGCCGCAGCACUCGACCCCGACCACCUUGCCGCCACCUAAGAUCACCACCGCAACCCUAUCGCUCGUUCGCAUCUCCCCGUGCCUUCGCCCGAGCCUGAAACCCACCGGAGCACCGUCAUCCGCCGACGCCCGAACGCCAUCGCCGCCUCAACCUCACUGCCGUCCUCCUCUGACGUCCCCGAGCUCACCGCCGACCACCAUCGGCAUCGCCGUUGUCUUCCGCAUCGCCUGGGCCGCUUCACCGUCGUCGAGGACCACCGAAGGCCUCACCUGCAUCGUCCCCGAGCCGCCACCGCCGCCGACGACCUCGCCGGAGCUCGCCCCACCGCGGUGAGCCAUUUCCCUCCGUCCGAUCUGUUAUUGACGCUCUAGAUUAGAUCUAACGAACGGUUAGGUUUUUCUGUUUAUAGAUCGGUUUAGUUCCGGUUUGUUUCAGUUUUAUUCGGUUUAGAUCAGUUCAGGUCGAGUCGGUUUAGCCGAUCGGUCUUUCUGUUUUAGCCCGUACAUGUUUCUACUAUUUUCCGCCCGAGCGCUGUUUAAUUUCAGCUCGCACACCCCGUAGCGCCCGUUAGUUUUUUUUCGUUUCUGUUUUAAAAACAGAAUAGUUCUGAUUUUAUAUUGCUUAUAACUUUUAUGUUUUAGAUCCAAAUUGAUUGAUUCUUUUUGCAUUAGAUUCAAAAUUUGUUGAUGUUUCUGUUUGUACCAUUGGAUUUCAAAUGUGAGUAGUUUAAAAUUGAAUUUGAUGAAAUUUAUCCAAAUCGCUAUUUUGGCCAUAUCUUGAGUUUUAUGAAAUAUUUUUGAUUGAUUCUUUUUGCUACUGUUUUGUUACUGUUUUGUCUAUCCAGUAGCUUAUACUUAUUCAUUUUUUUAGUUUAAUUUAAUUAGGUUUAUUGCGAAAACAGUACUGUUUUGCUUAUGUAGUUGUUUUGGUCAUAUAAUUGGUGUUUUUAAUUAUUUUUAGUUAAUUCCUUUUGUAAAUUUUUACAUGUUGUCAUAUGUUUAUGUUAGACCGCAGUAGAUAAAUUUUUGUAGUUAUUUACUAGUGUUUAGCUACUAUUUUAGUAUUUGUUUGUUUAGUUCAUAGUGAUAGUUGAUAAAAGUAGUUCCAUUAGUUUCAAAAGUAACUCUUUUUGCCACUUCAUUAUAUGUUGUCAUUGAUUCUGUUAUUUAGGAGUAAAUUAGUUUGAUAAUUAUUUUAGUAUUGUUUACUUUUGUCUUUUGCUAGUUGUUAUAGUUGUUCUGGUGUUAACUAGUCAGUUACAAUAGUUUUCAUACUAGUUCCUUUUGCUAGUAAAUGCUUUAGUAAAUUUUUCGUUGUUGUUUUAUUAGAAUUUUAUUUUCUUUACUGUAGAAAAGUUAUUAGAGUAAUUUAGUGAUGUUAUGUAAGAUUUGUGUGAAUUUGGUCUCCACUAGUUUUCCUUGAAGUUUUCUUUCGAAGUUUUCCUUUGGUUUUUAUUUGGUUUUCUUCUUGUUUUUUUAUUGUUAUUUUGAGUGCUAGUAUUGUUUAUAUGAUUAGCAUGUUUGACUAUAUAGAUUUACAUCGGAGUGACAAAUAGUUUUAUCAAGUUUCCAAGAGCGUUUAUAUCUUCAUCAACAUACCAGGCAAGUUCACUUUAACCAUGUUUUUCAUACCUAUAUUUUUAUUGCAUUUAGUGUCAUCCUUGCAACAACUUCUCCAACAGUGAUAUUGAUUCUUGUAGUUGAGUAGAAUGCAUGAGGUAGGAACCCACCUCCCUGUUACCAAGCCCGGGACGUAUAUAGUUUUAAUGCUACGCUGUAGUAGACGGGGUUGGUAUGAGUGCUCGGGAGUGGUGUGAGAAUGAAGGACUUUACGUCAAAGACGACAACUUCAUGAUGGCAUCUGCAAGGACUGCAUCUUCAGGACUCCUCAAGAUUUCGAGUCUCGAGACAAGAAUUCAAUACACACUACUGGGUGAAGGACGGUUGACGGGCACCCUGAAGAAACCAGUGGUUGGCCGGGAUGCAUGGAGAAGCGCCAUGACAUCUUGCGGAAAGCUUCGCCCAGACUCAAAGAGACGGAAGGAUACUUCAUCCCCGGAAGCUUACCUGUGCAACCGCAAGUCACUAUGGGCUCUGGCUUGGUUGACCUUAGUGGUGACUCUGGCUGGGACGGUGCUAGCAGAUGUAGAACUACGGUAGGAUUGGAUGAGCACCAGACAGUGGUCAGAGGAACUCUUUGGAAGACCAUGUUUCGGUCAUCUUGUUCUCAAACACCCUGAAGUGCGAGAAUGAAAAGAGAGGGGUCGAAUCUUGCGGGUAAAGUGUACAAACCUCUGCAGAGGGUUAAAACCUAAUCGAUUAGCCGUGUCCCCGGUUACGGACAAUUUGAGCCUCUGGACUUGGAUCUAUCUCGGAACUCUCAACACCGGAUUGAUAACUUAAUUGUGGGCAACUUAUGAUGAUUUGGGCUAUGAGACAUCGGUUGGCGGAACCAUGUCAUGAUAGAAAACUCCAUAGUACAGACUCCUGAUAUUCCUUUGUUGUAGGGAAAAUAAAACCAGCUUUUACGCAAAACAUCAGACACAGAGCCACAAAGCCAUAUUGCAUAUAGAAUGGUUUUAUCAUUUGUUUUCCUCAUAUUGUGAUCUUGCUAGUACAUUCAAUGUACUGACCUACACGGCUGCAAUGUCUCAUGUUGCAGAUAUGUUCCUUUCGAUGAGUAAGAGUAUGGUACAGGGUUACGAUCUAUACUCAACCUGCCGAUGGCGUUGAUGGGACUCCACACCUGAUUGUUUGUUUCCGCUGAGACUUAUGAGGUAUAUAUCUGUUUUACAUUAUUUAUACAUGUGAUUGCACUUUGAUAUAUACAUUGAUGUACUGUGUGUGUGCCAACAUACCGAUCCAGGGAUGACACAGAUACACAGAGGCUUGACCGUCUGAGGUCGGGUCGCCACAGAUAUGGUAUCAGAGCACAUGUUGACUGUAGGACGUGGCCCUAGAAAUCAGAAAAGCCCCUAGGACAGGAAAUCUCUAAAACUCUAUUUUCAAAUGAAUCCAUUACUUCUCAUCUUUUCUGAUUUUAUCAAAUAUCCUCUCUUCCCUCAAAUUGUUAGAAUAUACCACUUUCCCUUUUGACCACACGGAGGAUCAACUAAAGACGCUCCAAGAAGGACAAGAUAUUGGACAACCGAUGACCAUUUCAGAGUACAGAGGAUUUCACCAUGCAUUAGAAGAGUUGAAGCUUCAACGGUUGAAGACUCCAAAGACUUGAAGAAUCUGAAGAAUUAUUUGACCUUUAGAAGACCAAACCCAUGUUAUAUACUUACGUUAGAUGCGACGAUUUGUGAGGUGUCAUUUGUUUGAUGUUUUUCCGACGGCCACAAAUAAAACCCAUUUUCAAAACUAUUGUUUGUAUUGUGUGUAUCCCUCCCCACCCCUCUCUUAUCUCACCCUAAAACCCUUGGACCCAGUAGAUGAUGAAUGAAGUUGGACUGGUAUUCUCUGGACCGAAAAACCAAAGCCGAAGCAGAGCUAUGGAUUCAGAACAUGGAAAAUCACUUCGGGAGCGAUUUGAUUUCAAGGAAGAAUGAAGUAUCAUACGCUCUCCAGUACCUUGAAGGAAGUGCUGCGACAUGGUGGCAGAUGCAUCAAGCUAUACAGGGAUGGAAUGGAGCAAGGACUUGGGAAGAAUUCAAGAGGACUCUGACAAGAUCCCGCCUUAUCCGGAAGAGCCAUGAUACCCCAAGAAAUAAACCUCGUGCCUGCAAGAUUUGCGGAGAAAUAGGAAACACCCAGGAGGAACACAAGGAUGGAUGCCCUCGUUGUGAGGAGAAACACCCAGCUGAGGAAUGCCCAACUAGUCAGGUGACUUGUUUCUUGUGUGAAGGAACCACCCACUAUCCAGCUCAGUGUCACAUUUACACCACAGUGCAACAAAUUAUUCAGAAGCAGGAAGAAGGAAUGACAGAAGCCCUCCAAGAAGUUAUGAAAGAACCUGUGAUUAAGGAAAGUGUUGAAGACCCUGAUGGAGAAAGCCUCAACAGAUUUUACUCCAAUGCCUGUUAUUCAUGUGGAGAAGAAGGACAUAUUUCACAGUAUUGCACCAAGGAAAGAAAAGAGUAUUUGGGAUACUUCCCGACAGAAGCAGUGGAGUUUGAUCCACGGGGAAUAGAACGUUUGAUCAGAAUGAAGAAAACCAGGAAGAGAAAACAAAGACACCCUCAGAACAACCCAAUUUCUGCAAAGAGGGACAAGAGUCAUAUUACCUGUUUUGAAUGUAAGGGCGUCGGGCAUUAUGCCAAUGAUUGUCUCGAAAGGAAGCAAGGAACUCAAGGAGCAGGCACCAUCACCAAGAAGCCUCGAUACAUGCCGGAAGUUAUUUGUUUUCGUUGCAAGGAAGCAGGACAUUUUGCUAGGGAUUGUUCAAAUCAUGAGAAAGCUGGAGCUGAGUAGUAGAGAUGUUGAUAUCAGUAAUAAGGGUAGUAAGGAAAACACUUUUUCGUGAGAAUGCGGGCUGGAGUUAUGUAAUAGAUUACUCAGAGAUUGUAAUAAUUCUUGACUCAAUAAAGUUGAUAUGUCAUAUGCUGAAAGGCUUUAAGGAGUUGUUAUGUUUUAUCUUGGAAAUUAAUAUUCUGGGUGAACAUGGAAGAAAAUGAGUUGUGAUACAUAAACUAGAUGUUGGAAAUUGAGUUUGAAGUUCUUUUUGGAUGAUAUGAAUGUGUACCCAAGGAGAUAUGUACCUUAUUCUGAGCACCAUUUUUGUUUUACAACUGCAGAUGACGACCCUUUAUGAGUCUUUCCUCAAGGGACAGGAAACGAUCAUGACCCCGACAAGUGAUCAUGAUUACCCAAAAAUCCUGAAGGACAUGAUGAAGCAUAUUCACCUUGAAGGAGAUGCAGUCUACAAAGGCUACCCCUUCAUGCAAAAGGGAGUGGAACUUUGGUAUGUGGAGGUACACCUCCACCGUAUGAAAGGAGUUUGCCCAAAGACGAUGGGGCAGUACUUUUUCAUCUCACGUGUACCACAAGCAACUUUAUUCGACGCUGUUCAUGAAGCAGCCAUGGAAGCCAUACGCCAUAUCGGAGAAAUACUUGAAGCAAGACUCUGUUAUACUCAGGAAUACCUAAGAGAAGUGCAUGCAGAGAUGAUGGAGACGAAGCUCAAGGCCACCAUGAUGAAACAGAAGAUUAAAGAUUUCAAGGAGCAUGUCGCACAAUUCCAGUGGGACUGAAGGAUUCUCAAGGAGGAAAAAUGAAAAAAAGUGAGAAGUAAUGCUUGACCAUACCAAACCAUGUGGAUGGCGGCAUUUGUAAUGAAGUACCUUUUUGGAAUUUGGAUUUACGAAAAAUGGUUAAGGAUAUAAUAAAAUAUUUGAUAUGAAACUAAUAUGAUUUAUGGAUGAACUAAUGCAUUUCAUUUUUAAGUGUGGUAGUACUUCGUAAAGCCACAUGAUCAAUGAAGAAAGAAAGGUGUUGUUCAUGACGGUCCGCAGAAAGGAGCUAGACGAAACAAGUUGGAGUUUGAUUAUGAUGGUUACCGCAAGAGUAUGACCAAAUGAAGUAUUAUUGGAUUUAAAGUAGGUGUAAUGUUGGAAUAUGGAACAACUGUAACUCCACGGAUGAGUUAACACUAUGCAAGUGCUGAAGUGGACCCAUAACCCACAGGCCCAGGAUUUGACCAAGGCACAAGCACAAUCUUGUUGAAGGAAGAAUUCUGGAAGAAUAUGUGAAUUGAUCAACAGACGUUACAUAGGAUGUUACAUAAACCCCGAGAUUUUGAAGAACGAUAGAUGUCUUGUUCAGCUUGCAGAAACAAUGGAUUUAUUCGAACUCAGUUCGUCGACAAGAGAAAUUCUGCAAUGCUUGUGAGUAUGCCCAAGUGUUAGAAUACGUGAUUCGAUGUCUGCAUAUGUAGUAAUGGUUCAAGUACGGGAUGGAUUGGCCCCCAUACCGGAGACUUCUAUCAUGAACUAUCAUAUGUUGAUGGAAAAUCAGAGAGCCUUGAAAACACUAGAAGAGUGUCGACAUGAUAAGCCAAGACCGUAGAAUGGUAGGAUGAUUGAUCCAUGUACCAGGCACCUCUUGCCAAUCGUAGGAUAUACGGUGAGAUUCAACCACACCCAUUUUUAUGUAGGAGAAACCAUACAUGGUUGACCACCAUGAGAAUUUCGAUAGUUAUUUAGUAUUGGCGACAGACCGGUCAGCUAAGAAGACCCAGUCUCAGAAGAAUGUCACCAGGAUGAAAGAACAUGUUUGAGGAAAAGGUUAUGCCCCGACCGGAAGAGCACCGUGAAAGAGCUAUUCCGGAGUAUAUGAGAACAUCAACACCAGCAACACAAAAGGAAGGAGUACAUAAGUUUCUGUCAGAAACAUAACCCUGCUUUUAAGUGUGGUAGCACCCCAGACCUCUCCGGACAAUGGAUUUAUUGGAAGACCCCCAAACCCUAACCUUUUCUUGCUAGCCUCUUCAAAUCUCGAGGACGAGAUUCAUUUUAAGUGUGGUAGAUUUGUAACAUCCCAAAAUUCUAAAUUUUGGAAUGUUAUAUUAAAUAAAUAAUUCUGAUUUGUUUGUUUGAUUGUUGAGUGAUUGAUUGUGUGAAAUUGAGUGGAAUUUGAAACUUUUUGAAAGCUUAAUGAGAGGGAAUGAAAUGACUUUCCCAGGCUUUCUUUUUGACUUUUGAUAUCUGGGGAUUCAAAUUCAUUUUAUCAUCAUAACACUAGUGUGAAGAUGACAUCACUUCUUCCAUUUGAAAUGAAAAGGGUUUUUGAAAAAAAGAGAAUAUUUGAAUUCCAUCUGAAAGUAUUUCAAAUUCAUAAACUUUAUGCAACUCAAUGAUUUUCAUGAGGGAAGAUAAAAUGACUUCUUCAAAGUAUAUGAAAUAUGAGUUGGAAGUAUGAAGAAAGGUUUGAAGAUGGUUUGAAUUUUUUUAAAUUCAAAACCAUUUGGAGUUAUUUUAUUUAUUUCGAAUUAUUUUUCUCCAAAAUUAAACUAUAUGGAAAAUAGGGUAAAAUGAUUCCCUACAUUAUAAAAAUGGAGAAAAAUUAGUUUGAAAUAAUUUUGGCAUCUUAAUGUAAUUUUAUUUGAAUUUUAAUUGCAUCAGUAGCACUUUUUGAUUUAUUAGAAUUUAUGUGAAUUUUAUUUCACCAUGUAAAAAUGUUCAUGUUGUAGGAUUUAUUCUUCCUGUCAUUUUGAUAUAUAAUAUGUCUAUAUAAAAGUAUUAUUGUUUUUCCUUUAUUUAGUUUUCUUGUCUCUGCUUUAUAAAAAAAAUUAGCCGAAGCCAACGGACCAAGGGCCCACCUAAUUUUCUCUCUCUCACUCUCCCUUAGCCCAUCUACGCGCCACGCUGGCCCAGCAGCCACGUGCAUGCCCGGAGCCCCUUCGCCUCGGUCGCCCGCUCCCUCCUCGCUCGCCCUGUGCCGCUGACCGCUCGGGCCCACUGCCCGAUCGCCCCGCCCGCAUCUUCCUCUUCUUCCUCCCCACGCCAGAACCACCGCCGCCGCCGCCGUAUCCUGGAGAUCGCGGGAUCCUCCCCCGAUUCGCCCCCUCCACCAAGGAAACCCCUCCCCCUAUAUAUAUAACCAUCCCCUCACCUCGUUCUACCCCUUCCUGACCCCCGAACCCCUCUCCAUCGCCUGCAAUCCCUCGCCGGAGCUCGAGCUCCGCCGCCACACCAUUGCCGCCGCAGCACUCGACCCCGACCACCUUGCCGCCACCUAAGAUCACCACCGCAACCCCAUCGCUCGUUCGCAUCUCCCCGUGCCUUCGCCCGAGCCCAAAACCCACUGGAGCGCUGUCAUCCGCCUACGCCCGAACGCCAUCGCCGCCUCAACCUCACCGCCGUCCUCCUCUGACGUCCCCGAGCUCACCGCCGACCACCAUCGGCAUCGCCGUUGUCUUCCGAAUCGCCUGGGCGUCUUCACCGUCGUCGAGGACCACUGGAGGCCUCACCUGCAUCGUCCCCGAGCCGCCACCGCCGCCGACGACCUCGCCGGAGCUCGCCCCACCGCGGUGAGCCAUUCCCCUCCGUCCGAUCUGUUAUUGACGCGCUAGAUUAGAUCUAACGAACGGUUAGGUUUUUCUGUUUAUAGAUCGGUUUAGUUCCGGUUCGUUUUAGUUUUAUUCGGUUUAGAUCGGUUCAGGUCGAGUCAGUUUAGCCGAUCGGUCUUUCUGUUUUAACUCGUACACGUUUCUACUAUUUUCCGCCCGAGCGCUGUUUAGUUUCAGCUCGCACACCUCGUAGCGCCCGUUAGUUUUUUUUUCGUUUCUGUUUUAAAAACAGAAUAGUUCUGAUUUUAUAUUGCUUAUAACUUUUAUGUUUUAGAUCCAAAUUGAUUGAUUCUUUUUGCAUUAGAUUCAAAAUUUGUUGAAGUUUCUGCUUGUACCAUUGGAUUUCAAAUGUGAGUAGUUUAAAACUGAAUUUGAUGAAAUUUAUCCAAAUCGCUAUUUUGGCCGUAUCUUGAGUUUUAUGAAAUAUUUUUGAUUGAUUCUUUUUGCUACUGUUUUGUUACUGUUUUGUCUAUCCAGUAGCUUAUAGUUAUUCAUUUUUUUAGUUUAAUUUAAUUAGGUUUAUUGCGAAAACAGUACUGUUUUGCUUAUGUAGUUGUUUUGGUCAUAUAAUUGGUGUUUUUAAUUAUUUUUAGUUAAUUCCUUUUGUAAAUUUUUACAUGUUGUCAUAUGUUUAUGUUAGACCGCAGUAGAUAAAUUUUUGUAGUUAUUUACUAGUGUUUAGCUACUAUUUUAGUAUUUGUUUGUUUAGUUCAUAGUGAUAGUUGAUAAAAGUAGUUCCAUUAGUUUCAAAAGUAACUCUUUUUGCCACUUCAUUAUAUGUUGUCAUUGAUUCUGUUAUUUAGGAGUAAAUUAGUUUGAUAAUUAUUUUAGUAUUGUUUACUUUUGUCUUUUGCUAGUUGUUAUAGUUGUUCUGGUGUUAACUAGUCAGUUACAAUAGUUUUCAUACUAGUUCCUUUUGCUAGUAAAUGCUUUAGUAAAUUUUUCGUUGUUGUUUUAUUAGAAUUUUAUUUUCUUUACUGUAGAAAAGUUAUUAGAGUAAUUUAGUGAUGUUAUGUAAGAUUUGUGUGAAUUUGGUCUCCACUAGUUUUCCUUGAAGUUUUCUUUCGAAGUUUUCCUUUGGUUUUUAUUUGGUUUUCUUCUUGUUUUUUUAUUGUUAUUUUGAGUGCUAGUAUUGUUUAUAUGAUUACCAUAUUUGACUAUAUAGAUUUACAUCGGAGUGACGAAUAGUUUUAUCAAGUUUCCAAGAGCGUUUAUAUCUUCAUCAACAUACCAGGCAAGUUCACUUUGACCAUGUUUUUCAUACCUAUAUUUUUAUUGCAUUUAGUGUCAUCCUUGCAACAACUUCUCCAGCAGUGAUAUUGAUUCUUGUAGUUGAGUAGAAUGCAUGAGGUAGGAACCCACCUCCCUGUUACCAAGCCCGGGACGUAUAUAGUUUUAAUGCUACGCUGUAGUAGACGGGGUUGGUAUGAGUGCUCGGGAGUGGUGUGAGAAUGAAGGACUUUACGUCAAAGACGACAACUUUAUGAUGGCAUCUGCAAGGACUGCAUCUUCAGGACUCCUCAAGAUUUCGAGACUCGAGACAAGAAUUCAAUACACACUACUGGGUGAAGGAUGGUUGAUGGGCACCCUGGAGAAACCAGUGGUUGGUCGGGAUGCAUGGAGAAGCGCCAUGACAUCUUGCGGAAAGCUUCACCCAGUCUCAAAGAGACGGAAGGAUACUUCAUCCCCGGAAGCUACCUGUGCAACCGCAAGUCACUAUGGGCUCUGGCUUGGUUGACCUUAGUGGUGACUCUGGCUAGGACGGUGCUAGCAGAUGUAGAACUACGGUAGGAUUGGAUGAGCACCGGACAGUGGUCAGAGGAACUCUUCGGAAGACCAUGUUUCGGUCAUCUUGUUCUCAAACACCCUGAAGUGCGAGAAUGAAAAGAGAGGGAUCGAAUCUUGCGGGUAAAGUGUACAAACCUCUGCAGAGGGUUAAAACCUAAUCGAUUAGCCGUGUCCCCGGUUAUGGACAAUUUGAGCUUCUGGACUUGGAUCUAUCUCGAAACUCUCAACACCAGAUUGAUAACUUAAUUGUGGGCAACUUAUGAUGAUUUGGGCUAUGAGACAUCGGUUGGCGGAACCAUGUCAUGAUAGAAAACUCCGUAGUACAGACUCCUGAUAUUCCUUUGUUGUAGGGAAAAUAAAACCAUCUUUUACGCAAAACAUCAGACACAGAGCCACAAAGCCAUAUUGCAUAUAGAAUGGUUUUAUCAUCUGUUUUCCUCAUAUUGUGAUCUUGCCGGUACAUUCAAUGUACUGACCUACAUGGCUGCAACGUCUCAUGUUGCAGAUAUGUUCCUUCUGACAAGUAAGAGUACGGUACAGGGUUACAGUCUACACUCAACCUACCGAUGGCGUUAUGGGACUGCACACCUGAUUGUUUGUUUCCGCUGAGACUUAUGAGGUAUAUAUCCGUUUUACGUUAUUUAUACAUGUGAUUGCACUUUGAUAUAUAAAUUGAUGUACUGUGUGUGCCAGCAUACCGAUCCAGGGAUGGCACAGAUACACAGAGGCUUGACCGUUUGAGGUCGGGUCGCUACACUGCUCCUGCAUUAGGUCUAUCACCUAGUGGUGAAUCAAGGGCAUAAUUCUUCUGUGCAGCAAUGAGGAUAAUCCUUAGAUCACGGACCCAGUCCGCAUCAUUGCUACUAUCAUCUUUCAACUUAGUUUUCUCUAGGAACAUAUCAAAAACAGGGGAGCUACAUCGCGAGCUAUUGAUCUACAACAUAGAUAUGAAAAUACUAUCAGGACUAAGUUCAUGAUAAAUUAAGUUCAAUUAAUGAAAUUACUUAAGAACUCUCACUUAAAUAGACAUCCCUCAAGUCAUCUAAGUGAUACGUGAUCCAAAUCAACUAACCCAUGUCCGAUCAUCACGUGAGAUGGGGUAGUCAUCAAUGGUGAACAUCUCUAUGUUGAUCUACUAUAUGAUUCACGUUCGACCUUUCGGUCUCCGGUGUUCUGAGGCCAUGUCUGUACAUGCUAAGCUCGUCAAGUUUAGCCUAUGUAUUCCGCAUGUGCAAAACUAUCUUGCACCCGUUGUAUGUGAACGUAGAGUCUAUCACACCCGAUCAUCACGCGGUGUCUCAACACAAUGAACUGUAGCAACGGUGCAUACUCAGGGAGAACACUUUUACCUUGAAAUUUAGUUAAGGGAUCAUCUUAUAAUGCUACCGCCGUACAUAAGCAAAAUAAGAUGCAUAAAAGAUAAACAUGACAUGCAAUCAAAAUAUGUGACAUGAUAUGGCCAUCAUCAUCUCGUGCUUUUGAUCUCCAUCUCCAAAGCAUCGUCAUGAUAUCCAUUGUCACCGGCUCGACACCUUGAUCUCCAUCGUUGCGUCACGGUUGUCUUGCCAACUAUUGCUUGUACAACUAUCGCUAACACAUAGUGAUAAAGUAAAGGAAUUACAUGGUGUUUGCAUUUCAUACAAUAAAGAGACAACCAUAAGGCUCCUGCCGGUUGCCGAUAACUUUAAAAAACAUGAUCAUCUCAUACAAUAACGUAUAUCACAUCAUGUCUUGACCAUAUCACAUCACAACAUGCCCUGCAAAAACAGGUUAGUCGUCCUUUACUUUGUUGUUGCAAGUUUUACGUGGCUGCUACAGGCUUCUAUCAAGAACCUUUCUUACAUAUGCAUAAAACCACAAUGGUGUUUCGUCAAGUUUGUUCUUUUAACCUUCUUCAAGGACCGGCCACAGUUAAAUUCGAUUCAACUAAUGUUGGAGAAACAGACACCCGCCAGACACCUUUAUGCAAAACUAGUUGCAUGUCUGUCGGUGGAACUAGUCUCAUGUGCGUGGACAUGUAAGGUUGGUCCGGGCCGCUUCAUAUUACAAUACCGCCGAAUCAAAAUAAGACGUUGGUGGUAAGUAAUAUGACUAUCAUCACCCACAACUCUUUGUGUUCUACUCGUGCAUAUCAUCUACGAAUAGACCUGGCUCAUGAUGCCACUGUUGAGAAUCGUUGCAUGGAAAACAAAAAUUUCUACGCACACGCAAUGAUCUAUCCAUGGAGAUGCAUAGCAACGAGGGGGAGAGUGUGUCUACAUACCCUUGUAGACCAUAAGCGAAAGCGUUUCACAACGCGGUUGAUGUAGUCGAACUUUCUUCGAGAUCUAAACGAUCGAGUACCGAACGUACGGCACCUCCGUGUUCUGCACACGUUCAGCUCGAUGAUGUCCCUCACCUUCUUGAUCGAGCAAGACUUCGAGGUAGUAGAUGAGUUUCGACAGUAUGAUGGCAUGGUGACGGUGAUGGUGAUGCGAUCUCCACAGGGCUUCUCCCAAGCUCUACGAAAAUAUGACCGAGGGAGUAAACGGUUGACGGGGGCGCCGCACACGGCUAAGACAAUGUUGUGUGCCUUUGUGUGGUGCCCCUACCCUUGUAUAUAUAGGUGGGAAGGGAGCAGAAAGCCCCUAGGGCACCCCAAGAGACCUGGCGGCAGCCCUAGGGAUGCUGCCUUACCCUGCACCCCUUGUAAGAAGUAGGGGGAAGGAAAGAGGGGGGAGGGAAGGAAGGGGGAGUCCUACUCCACACUUUCCUUUCCCUCCCCUCUUUCCUUCUCCUCCUCAUAGGGCCGGCCUGUAUAGGGGCGCACCAGCCCCUUGUGGGCUGGUGUGUUCCCUCUCUUGGGCUCUUGGCCCAUAAGGCCCAUAUCUUUGAUGGGGGUGCUCGAAACUCCUUUCCGGUGACCCGAUAAGUACCCGGUACCCUCUGAAACACUUCCAGUGUCCGAAUACCAUCGUCCUAUAUGUCAAUCUUUACCUCUCGACCAUCUUGGGACUCCUCGUCAUGUCCUUUAUCUCAUCCGGGACUCCGAACAACAUUCGAUCAACAAAGCACAUAACUCAUAUAAUACUAUAUCAUCAAUGAACGUCAAGCGUGCGGACCCUAUGGGUUCGAGAACUAUGUAGACAUGACCGAGACACCUCUUCGGUCAAUAACCAAUAGUGGAACCUGGAUGCCCAUAUUGGCUCCUACAUAUUCUACGAAGAUCUUUAUUGGUCGAACCGUUAUGACAACAUACGUAAUUCCCUUUGUCCAUCGGUAUCUUACUUGCCCGAGAUUCGAUCGUCGGUAUCUCUAUACCUAGUUCAAUCUUGUUACGGGUAAGUCUCUUUACUUGUUCCAUAAUACAUCACCUCGUGACUAACUCCUUAGUCGUUUGCUUGCAAGCUUAUGAUGUGUAUUACCGAGAGGACCCGGAGACACCUCUCUGAUACUCGGAGUGACAAAUCCUAAUCUUGAUCUAUGACAACUCAACAAAUACCUCCAGAGAUACCUAUAGAGAAUCUUUAUGAUCACCCAGUUACGUUGUGAUGUUUGAUAGCACACAAGGUAUUCCUCCAGUAUCUAGGAGUUGCAUAGUCUCAUAGUCGAAGGAAUAUGUAUUUGACAUGAAGAAAGCAAUAGCAAUAAAACUGAACGAUCAUUAUGCUAAGCUAACGAAUGGGUCUUGUCCAUCACAUCAUUCUCCUAAUGAUUUGAUCCCAUUAUCAAAUGACAACACAUGUCUAUGGUUAGGAAACCUUAACCAUCUUUGAUCAACGAGCUAGUAUAAUAUAGGCUUACUAGGGACACGGUGUUUGUUUAUGUAUCCACACAUGUAUUUAAGUUUCUGGUCAAUAUAAUUCUAGCAUGAAUAAUAAACAUUUAUCAUGAUUAAGAAAAUAUAAUAAUAACCAUUUUAUUAUUGCCUCUAGGGCAUAUUUCCAUCAGGAGCAGCAUGCCAUCCUGGAGUCCAUCCACGAUGAGGCCUAUGUGGAGGCCAACCAGCAGUUCCUCCGGCAGGAGCAAGCGACGUCUGACACGCUCUUUGCCGAACUCGACAUGGAGAUAGAGAAGGAGGAGGUCGGAGCGGAGCAGCCGGAGGAGCUGGAGCUGCAGCUGCCGCCCAUGCUGCUGGAGCUGGGCACGAAGAUCGCUGAGAUCUCUAGCAAGGAGUAGGUAGAAGGGGGAUGCGCAUGGGGGUAGCUACCCCUUCACCCUUGCACAUUGCCUCUCCCAACUCCUCCCACGUUUCUCCGAUACGUGCUUGGCGAAGCCCUGCCGGAAUUCCGCUGGCACCACCACCACCAUACCACCAUGCUAGUUCCGAUCUCAUCUACCUCCUCUUACUCGCUUCCUUGAUCAAGAAGGAGAGGAUGCCAUCGAGAUGAAAGUGUGCUGAUCUCGGAGGUGCCCUCCAUUCGACACUAGAUCAGAUUGGAUCGUGAAGAGUACGAGUACAUCAACCGUGUUACAUACACUAACACUUUUGGUCUACAAGGGUAUGGACACAGUCCCCUCUCAUUGCCUUGCAUCUCCUAGAUUAGAUCUUGGGUGUACGUAGGAUUUUUUUAUUUUCAUGCUUCGUUCCCCAUUAGAGGACCCCCCAUACAACUGAAGAAUAGGUCAUGUUUGCCAUAACCCACUACGUACUCAAGACAGAAUCCUCCAAAGACUUGGUGCACAAUUGAAGGCACGUCCGAAUCAUUAGCAUGUUUAUCCCUAGAUGUAACCGACCUACAUGUAACCCUAGGUACCACUGCUGCCUAUAUAAGCCGAGGGUUUAGUUCAUAGGGUUAGGUUAGAGACAUACACAUACGAUCUCGAUCAUCCUAUACAUUGAAGCCCAUCACAUCAAUACAAUUUAAGCAGGGUGUAGGGUUUUACCUCUUCGAGAGGGCCUGAACCUGGGUAAACAUCGUGUCCCUCUUCUAUCAUGUUAAAAUUUAGCUAAGAUCCACAACUCAGGACCCCCUACCCAAGAACCACCGGAUUCAACCCCAACAAAGGGGACCCGAUUUCUCCAUAACUUUUCUCGUUAGCAACAGAGGAGCUUUCUGUUGGAAAUAUGCCCUAGAGGCAAUAAUAUUGUAUUAUUAUAUUUCCAUAUUCAUAAUUAAGAGUUUAUAUUUCAUGCUAAAACGGCUCUGAUCCUGGAAUAUGCGAUACAAUGGAAAACUCAUAUGGACGUGUGGAAUGAUAGAAGAAUAGGGUCCUAAUCUUGCCUCUAAGACUGGCUCAAGUGUCGUUGGUGAUCAUGUCUUCCGGAUCUUAGGAAAUCGUUAAGUAUAACGAUAGUCAUAAAACAACAUUGAGGGUAUGACAUUAGAAGAACGAUCAUAUUGAGUUGACCCAAACUUGUUUGUUAUACUCCGAUAUGAUAUCUUCUAAAAUCAAUUGUUAUAACAUAGAAUGUUAGCAUGUGUUUUAGUUCCUCAGACCAUGAGAGUCUCGUAGUCAUUUCCUACCAUACGAUGGAAUUUGGGGUUUCUCAAACGUCAUCUAUAACAAGAUGAUCCUAAUGACAACUUACAGGUUCAUCAUAAAGUUUGGCAAGGGACUAGAUAGCUAGAAGUGAGAUUUGCUUCUCCGACGAUGGAGAUGUAUUCUUAGGGCCCUCUCGGUGUGAUGGCAUCCAUCAUCGUCUGGCCAGACACAGGUGACUACGUCACGGGGAUGCUGGAACACUUCAACGAGAAAUAAGAACAAAACAGGUAACUAGGAGUCGAGGACGACGGUAUAACGAGCAUGUGGGACUCAGAAGGAUACCGAUGCUCCCCUGGUUUUGUAUAGUAUCGCGAAGCAAAGGGAACAUCACAUGAUUGCCAAAGGUUCACUCAAAUGUCAUUAAUUUGUGUAAUCAUUGGGAUCGAUAUGGAUGUCCACGGUUCCGCUAUUGGUCAUUGAACGAAGGAGUUUUGUUCAUGUCUAUGAUUUAGCGAACCUACGGGAUCACAAGCUUAAGGUAAUCACAAUAUAUUGACUGUUAGUAGGACAAGAGUAUUGAGGAUUUACUUUUUAUUUUUUUCAUUAAUAUUCGGAAUAGUUUCAAGAGGAAACCAAAAGCAUUUCAAGGUCGGCGGAAGGGUUUCGAAAUUUAUCGAGCAAUACCGGGUAUUCCCGAUAAUUAAUAUAUAGGUGAAAAAUGUUUUCAGUGAUGUUUUUUUUAGCUUAAUGUUGCCGCUUUAUUUAAUCAAAAGCAUUCGGAAUUUCGUCCGAGAUUACAUCUAGAACACAGUCUGGGGUGUCACCCAACCACACCUUACACAAAUCAUCACCUACACCAACUUUAGCAAGCUUGUGCGCGACAACAUUAGCCGAACGAUGAAUCCACGAAACUUUAAAUUCAGAGAAAGAUGCAAGAAUGGACUUAAUCUCUUGAAUCCACGCCCCAACGUUGGCACGAUCCUUGUGUGGGCUUUGCAGCCUUUGGACAACACCAAGAGAAUCGAGCUCGACGUGGUCCCUGUGUGCAUUGAUCUCCUUCGCCACCUCCAGUCCCUGCUUGCAAGCCAGGAUUUCAAGAGCUUCCGGUUCUACAAUGCCGUGAUACACAUGACAGAGCCCCGCACGGAACGCGCCACCAUGAUCUCGAUUAACCGCUCCCGCUCCACCCUUGUCACCUCCUCUAUGCACUGCUCCAUCGGAGUUGAUCUUGAACCAACCCUCCUUAGGCGGCCGCCAUUUCUCCUUGACUGGCGCCACUGUCGUUCGCCUUUCUUUGGCAUGAAAUGCUGUCCACUCAUUGAUAUAUGACACAACAGUGCUCAUGAUUUCAUGUGGGGCAGCAAUUGCCUUACCAUUCCUCGCUUCGUUUCUUGCCAACCAAAGACCGUAUGUAGCUUGAACCAUAGCAGCUCGCUCCUCAUUGUCAGCAUCGACAAACCACCCAAGUAGCCAGCUAGCUAAAACACCCUGGGAGUCGAUCUGACAAGGUGGGAUCGCCACCCUAACUCCCUUUUCCAAGUGAAGAAGCUGCCAGAACAGCGCAGAAUGUUGGCAUGACCAGAAAUGGUGUACCACCGUCUCUUCCCGACCACACACAACACAAAAAACACCGGGUUUGAUGCGACAUCGGUGAAGUUCAGCUCCUACCGCAAGCCCAUUCCUUAUCAUCCUCCACAUAUGGAUCUUUGUCUUGGCCGGUGCGUUUGUGUCCCACAAUGCCAUAUAUCCCCUGUGCUGCGCCACCGUGCUCGAGGGACCCGGCUGUCCGGUCCCCGAUCUGCUCAUGGCCAUUCGCAAGUGAUACGCCGACUUGACGGUGAACUCUCCAUUCUUCGUGAAAUUCCACACAUGAAAGUCAUCCGUUCCAGGGCCCCCAACCGCUAUUUGCUUGAUGUCAUGUGCAUCCUCGUCAGAGAACAUUGCAUGUAGCUUAGCCAUGUCCCAGCUCCGUCCAUCAUGGGCAAGCAGUCUGCAACCUUGGUAAUACCUGGGAUGUACAGCUGACCCAGUGGCCGCAUACUACCAGCCCUUGGAAUCCAGUUUGCGUGAUGGAUUUGCACCAAACUGCCAUCCCCAAUGCGCCAUACAAUCCCCUCAUUGAGUAAAUCCCUCCCAUGGAGAAUACUCUUAAAAGUGAACGAUGCAGAAGGAGAUGCUGUUGCAGAUAAUACCGAUCCAUCCUCAAAGUAACGAGCUUUUAGUACCCUCGCGCAAAGAGAUGUUGGUACCUGUAGGAUCCUCCAUGCUUACUUAGCCAACAAAGCUUGGUUGAAAGCCCCAGGGUCACGAAACCCCAUACCACCAUCUCGUUUUCUCGAACACAUUUUUUCCAUGAUAUCCAGUGUACCUUACGUUCACCAUUUGUUGCCGCCCACCAGAAUUUUGAAGAGAUUGAGGUCAGGUUCUGACACGUCUUCUUCGUGAGCUGAAAACAACUCAUGGUGAAAGUGGGUACAUCUUGUAACCCAGAUUUUAUCAACACUUCUCUCGCAGCUUUCGAUAGUCCUCGCCUCUUCCAUCCGCCAACCUUGCCUUUCAAGCUUUCCGUCACAUACCUGAAAGUACCCUCCUUAGACUUCCCAACCAGUGUUGGUAGCCCGAGGUAUCGCUCACUAAGAGCUUCUGAAUGAACUCCCAAUAAAUUCUUUAUUUCCUCCUUGUCAUCCUCCUGAUGGCCUUUCCUAAAGAAGAUUGAAGACUUCUGUAAGUUGACUUGUUGGCUUGAUGCCUCUUCAUAUCUCCUCAGUAUUUCCCUCAACAUUACCAUGUUGUCAUGUGAUCCUUCCAAAAACACAUUACUGUCAUCUGCAAAAAGAAGGUGAGUAACAUGGGGGCCAGCGCGCCCAAAUUUCACACCCUUCACCUUCCCCUCCUCUUGGGCUUUUUUGAGCAUCGCAGAGAAUCCUUCCACACAGAACAGAAACAGAUAAGGGGAUAAUGGAUCACCCUGUCGGAGCCCUCUGGAAGGGGAAAACCCCCUCGAUAAACCACCAUUGAGCUUCACCGAAAAAGUGGUCGGCGUUACGCACCGCAUGAUCAUGGCAAUCCUUCCUUGUGCGAAACCAAUCCGUUCCAUCAUCUGCCAGAGGAAAAUCCAUUCAACUCGGUCGUACGCCUUCAUCAUAUCGAGCUUGACUGCAUAAAAAGGUUUCUUCCGCUUCCGUUUACGUAUAGCGUGCAUGCAUUCAUACGCAACAAUCACAUUAUCAGUAAUCAACCGCCCCGGUACGAAGGCACUUUGCUCCUCAGAGAUAAGCAUAGGUAGAAUACCCUUAAGCCGGUUAGCCAAGACCUUCGUCGCGAUCUUGUAGAGAACAUUACAGAGGCUGAUCGGACGGAACUGUGAAAGUAACUCCGGUGAGCUACAUUUCGGGAUCAUGACGAUAAUCGUAUCAUCGAAAGCCUCCGGAGCAGCUACCCCAUUCAAAAAGUCCUUUACUGCCCGGCACACGUCGUGUCGAACCAGCGACCAGUGUCAUUGGUAAAAGAGAGCCGGUAAUCCAUCCGGCCCCGGUGCCUUCGUGGGUCCCAUCUGGAAGAGCGCCGACUCAAUUUCCUCAUCCUUGAUCGGCUCGAGCAGCAGCUUGUUCAUAUCCUCCGUCACCUAUCUAUCAAUGUUCUGUGACAAGUCAGCCGCCCCCCGUGCACCUUCCAAUGUGAAUAGCUGUUCGUAGAAGUGAGCAGCCAUGUUGCGCAUCUCCUCAUCAACCCUGCACGAAGACCCAUCAUCCCGCUUCAGAGCUUUCACCGUGUUCUUCCUUUUCCUAUGAGAGGCUCUGUUCUGAAAAUAUUUAGUGUUUUGAUCGCCCGCUUUUAGCCAAUCAUGUUAAGUUAUAUAUAAAUGGCUCUAGUAAUUAUUAGAAGGCUUUUAUAUUUAAUUAAAUAUCAACGGGCCUUAAAAGGCCAAACGGUGGAAGGAGUAUUGGGUCACAAGGGCCCGACAGGGAGGCGCUCCCUUCUCCUCAUGGUAAGGAGGGAAGGAUGCCGAAUUGGAGGGGGUUCCCCCCUACUCUUGGCCGGCCAGGGGGGGCUCUUUCCCCCUUGUGUGGUGCCUCCUCUCCCGUCUCCAACUUAUAUAUACUAGAGGAUUUGGACCUUUUAAAGAUAUAAGUUUUGGAGCCUCUUCUAGUUCAUCUCGUUCUAGUUAGUCCUAGUUGACUAGUUAGAGCUAGGCCUAGUUCCUCUAAUCCUUAUAAUUAGAAGCCCAAUGUGGUUCUAAUCUCCCGGCGACGAUUAGCUCUAGACGGCGAAGCACUGCCGGAUCCUGAAGACCGUACGCUUGCAACCAAGUAGAGAGGCUGUGCUUUCAGUCUUUCGCUCGAGGGAUCGUUUGAGGGCAGUUUGCGGGAUCGUCAUCAACGGAUCAAAGGGACUCCAAGUACGAUCUACACCGACUCGUCUACUUCUGCUGCACUUCGAAGUCGGCAAAGAUCGUUGAUCCAAACCCUAUAUGCAUCUUCAUAUUGUUCCUAGGUGAUCAUAGGGCACUUUUUUUGUUUUCUACUACGUUUCCCAACACUUUUGUGCCGCCUAAAAUCAAUAGAUGAGUCAUCCGAUCUUCGUGGAGUACAAGCGCCCCCCACGGUGCCACCGGUAAAACAUUUAUUAUUUGCAGAUGAACACCUAACAUUUUUCAGGGCUAAUGGUGUGGGAGUAACCGAGGUGAACCAGGUUUUUGAUAUAUAUUGUUAAGCAUACGAGCAAUGAAUUAAUUAUGACAUGUCAUCAAUUUUCUUCAGUAAGGGAGUACCUGAAUUGGUUAUGAAAUAAUGGCUCUACCGCAAGUCCCAAAUGAAACCCUGGAUUAGAAAUAUUUGGGCAUGCCAUCAGAUGUGGGGUCUUCAAAAAAUGGGGCUUUCAAAUAUCUUAAAUAUAGGUUGUGGAGCAAGGUUCAAGGAUGGAUUGAGAAAAUUUUAUACAUGUCACGAAAGGAAGUGCUGGUAAAGGCGGUGGCUCAAGUCGUGCCAGUGUACUCUAUGUCUUGCUUCAAGAUUCCAAGGGGUAAUUGCGAGCAUCUAUAUAUGUUGAUUAGGUUAUUAUGGUUGGGCAACAAAGAUGGUCAGCGGAAGCCAAACUAGGUUUAAUGGGAAGUCAUAACACAACCAAAAUGUAUGGGGGAGUUGGUUUUAAGGAUUUUGAAUCGUUCAAUUUAUAUUUACUUGCGCUACAUGUGUGGCGCAUCUUGCAAUACCCGGAGCCCUUAAGCUAAUGUCUUUUGAAAAGUGUCUAUUUUCCCACUACAUCUAUAUUGCAUGCAAGCCUCGGGGGCCACCCAAGCCAAAUUUGGCGAGCGAUCAUAGAUGGAGGAGAUGUUAUGAAGCAAGGGUUGAUCAAGCUGGUUUGGCAACCAACAUCUAGACAGACAAUUGGAUCCCUCAUGAUGAGAUGUUGAGACCAUAUGGUUCUAUACACAGUGACCAUCAUCAGUUUUGUCUCUGACCUCAUUGAUCAUACCUCGACAACAUGGAGCACUUAUCAGAUAGAGGAGGUAUUUCUGCCAUGGACGCAUCGGCGAUGUUGGAGAUCUCAUCAUGCAUGAGAAAUAUUCCUAAUUUUUGGGCAGGGAAUUAUGAAAAGAAGGACGUUUUCUUGAUUUGUUUAGCAUAUAAAAUGUUGGUGUCAACGAAACAGAGAAGGGGGUUCAUGGAAAUUACUCUGGAAUACUCAAGUACCUGCGAAGUGCAUAUUCUACCUAAAAUCUCCUAUUCUCUCAAUUAAGGACGUCAUGUGUGGAAAAUACGAAGGAGAACUUGGGUUCCAACGCACCCUAUAUGCAAAAAAAUAGUAAUUCAAAAAAAGUUCAAAAAAAUCUAAAUCUUUUUUGGUAUCAAACAUGAUCAAGUAUUUUAUUUCGUCGGAGAAUGACUUUUAUUGCAUCCUGGGUCGAAGAUUUGGCAAAAAAUGCUAUAGACGCUAUAUUGUCGUCAUAAACUAGUCUUUUUUGCCUUGAAGUCAAUAUGAAUCAUUUCUUGUCCAAACUUUUUAUACGAGUACAAUACCUGAUCAUCUUUGAUUCCAAACAAGAUUUGGAAUUUUUUGAACUUUUUUUGGAUUACUAAUUUUUUUGCGCAUAUAGGGUGCGUGGGUACCCGAGAGCACCAAGUUCCCGUCCCGUCAUGUGUGGCUUACUCAACUCCAUGAUCCUAUUUGUAUCCCAUUCCAUGAUCCUAUUUGUAUCCCACCUUCUGUGUUUUUCGACGAAUAAAGCUAGGCUUACUCAACUCCAUGAUCCUAUUUGUUUCCCACAAUAUGUGAUUUUUGAAGAAUAAAACCAGGUCUUCACCCCUAGAGAAAAAGCUGCACCCGCAAGGCAGCCUGCCGGCCGCAACGGCGCAAUUUGUUCUGGUCCGGGGCUAACUACUUCCUUCAAUCAGCACUGAUCGCCGAUACAACACUUUCAAGCAAUUUCCUCCCCCGUGACGCAUGUGCCCCGACGUGCCGGCGGAGGCGCAAGGAACACCUGUCGCGCUCGGCCACGGCGGUGCCGGGCCACCGCGCGGCUCGGUUCCAACGCACGUACCAGCCAUGUGCGCGCGCGCGCGCGGUGCGACGUUGAUUAGCCUUUCGCCGGCACGUCGCCGGGGGUCCACGGCCGGAAUCCUCGAUUAGACUUGGAUUACAACCUAUCAUUAUUAUCUCAGGUGCAUGCACCCGCGCCUUUUUGUCGAACCGGCCGGUCGUGCCGGCCCCGUCUCACGUCUGCCGUCGUGUGAGUAGUAUAUUCCGGCCGGCCGCGUACGUCGCAAGCAGCGAGAGCGUACGUGCAUGCGCGCACACUUGCGGUUCACGCCUCGCGACGUAUCCGUACCACCGGUGUGCGUGGUUUAUGAACGAUUGCUACGUGCGUCCAGCUAAAAAGGGAGUUUCGCCAUGAGGUCGGUUUAAGAGAUGGAUUGCACAGCGCGGCCGAUGUGCACUGCAGUGUGCAGAGGCAUCGCUUCACGUGGAAGGGUCGGCGGUGCGUAAGUGCGGUCGCACAGGGUGUAGGCUGGCUGGCGCUGCUCAGCUCCUGUGUGGCCGCAUGUGCAUGGAUUGUUCUGCGUACUUUCUGGCUGGCGAAGUGGUGAUUAGGCCAGCUUUUGUGCUUAUUGUUUUCUCUCCUUUUUGUAGAGUGCUUCAGAGGAUUCGGAUUUGGUUUCUUCCCAUUGAAUGGGUGCUUUCUAUCUCUCUUUUUUUAAGAAAAAUAAUAUUCCCUCUAUCCUAAAAUAAGUGUAUCAAAUAUAUACUAGAUUUAAUACAAAGUUAUACUAAGAUUAAGACACUUAUUUUGAGACGGAUUUUUUUGAAGGCUUUUGAGAAAAUUAAUGGGUCCGCUCUUGUGGCCAUAUGCUGUUGUACGGAAACAUAAAGGCCCAUGUUUGAGAUUUCUGUUAACGAGAUAAACUUUCCGACAGGACAUUUAUAUGUCGCCCGUUCUAAACUGCCCAAAGUUUCUUUUACAUGUUUGAAUUUUUUCUAAACUGCGCAAACUUUAAAAAAACAUAAACAUUUUUAAAAAAUCGCUGAUAUUUGUAUUUGGAAAACUUGACUACAUUUUAAAAUGUGACAUACAUUUAUUUUAAUGGAAAUAAACAUUUUAGUAACCUACUAGGACAUUUUUGUACAUUUUAUUAACUUACAUAUAUUUUUUAUUUAAAAAAUGUCACCAUCAUAUUUUGAAACGGGGGAAUAUUUCCAUACAAUGUAAGGCAAUGAUUUUUAAUAGUACAAAACAUUUGUCCAUGUCAUAAAAACAAUCUACACAUUAUAUUUAUAUUUUCUAAAAAUUCAUACAUUUUUUUCUGAAACACAAUAUUUGUUAUUUGUCUCCAACAUUUUUUUAUGUUAUCAAAAAAAUUUAAAGCUGCGCCAACAAAACAUUUAUACAAUAUUAACUUUUUUUCAAAUUUAUGGUUUAUAUUUCUUAAGUAAAUUUAUGUUUUUAAAAUACAUGCAUUUACAAAAUAUAUAUACAAGGGAAAACAUGAGUUGGAUCAAUAUGACGAGCCACAACAGCCUCCCUGUAGGCAAGGCCUGAUUGAAUUCCCUAUUCACCGCACGCUGCGGCAAGAUGUCGCUGUUGCGCACAGGGAUCGAGCGAUAGGUGGGAUUGGGCUGGUCCAUUUAAGCGUUUUCAGGGUUCCGGUAUUGGGAACCUUCCAGAGGUUCCCAGCCGGUUUUUUUUACGGUUUUGGGAAACAUCUUGAAGGAUCCUGAACCAGAAUUUUUUCUGUUCUGUUUAUCUUUUCAUUUUUCUUUAUUUCCUGUUUUUUUUCCUUUUCUCUCUUUUUUUCCUUUUUCCUUUUUUUUAGUUUUUGCUUUUUCUUUCCUUUUCUCUUUGGGAGAUGCUACGCAUCGGCCGGUGGAUCCUUUUAAAAGAUCCGUCGCCUUGCGAGCCGUCAGAUGUGAGACAAUCUAGCGACCGUGUGCCAUCCUUUACUUUUGCAACAAAAACCUUGUUGCGGAACCUUUUAUAACAUAAAUCAUGUUGCAAAAACAUUUGUAGAUUUUUUUUGCAAUAGAAAUCAUGUUACAGAAACAUUUGCAAUGAAGGUUGUGUUGCAGUUUUUUUUGCAGCAGAGAUCAUGUUGUAGAAAUAUUUAUAAUUUUUUCUGCAACAGAGGCCUUGCUGCAGAAAAUUUAUGCAACAGUGAUAAUUUUGCAGGAGCUGUACUGCGGCGGCACCGUCGGUUGCAACUAAGCUCGAGGAGGAGACAACCAUGGACGCCGUGCUCCUCAGGAACACCGCAACGUGGAACGAUGGGAGACGGCGGACGAGGCUCCAACGGCGGUGUGUCUCGCGGAGGCGGGCGACGGCAGGGCAGUGUAAUCCGUGCAUCGGUGUUGCUCAAGUCAAAGGCGGCGUUGAUUAAAUUGGUGUGUGAGAGAGAGAGUAUGGAUGAGGAAGGAAAUGAGGAGGGACACGGAUGGCCGAGCACUUGCUCGCCGGCGCCGGGGCCUCGGCUGGCAUGAUUCAGUUGGUUUGACUUGAUGUGUGGCACGCGUGCAAGGCGGCGGACGUGUUGUUGUUUUCGGUCGGCGGACUCACAACUUUUCCCUUUUUCUUUUUUUUUUCAUUUUCAUUUGUAUUUCUCAUUCCUUUUAUUUUUCAGAAAAUGUUCGCAUUUUAUAAAUUUUGUUAUUUGUACAAAAAAUGUUUCAUUUUUUAAUGUUUUCAUAAAUUCCAAAAAACAGAAUAUCAAUAUUUGUUCCCUUCUUUGCAGAAAAUAUUCGGUAAUUAAAAAAAUUCACCUUUUUAAAUUUUUAUUCACAAACACGAAAAUAUUUGAUUUCAAAACACCAUUUUUUUAAAAAAAAUUGCAACUUCAAAAAAUGUCUACAUGUUUAAAUUUUGUUCAUAAACUAAAUAUUGUAUGAUAAUUUCAAAAAUAUUCUUGAAUUUAAAAAAUUCUUUCGUUGUUGCAAAUUUGUUCACAAAUUCUAAAAUAUUCUUGAAUUUAAAAAAUUCUUUCGUUGUUGCAAAUUUGUUCAAAAAAUCAAAGAAAUAUUUUAUUUUCGAAUAUUUGUUCACAUACUUAAAAAAUGUUCAUGUUUCAAUAUUCGUUCACAAAUUCAAAAAAAGUUCAAAUAGUUUUUCAAUUUUUUCAAACAUUUUGUCGAACCAUGGUCUUCAUUUUAGAAAUUGAAAUUGAAAUUGAAUAAAUCCAUGAACCAUGGUCUUCCAACAUUUCUUCAAAUACUUGUUCAGCAUUUCUUCAAAUACUUGUUCAACAUUUUUAUAUACAUGAUUAAUUUUUUUCAAAUAUUUUUUGUAAUAUAUAUAUUUAAAAAAAUAUAACAUAUAAACAAAAGUACAAAAAAAUUAAAACAGAAAACAAAAAACGUGAAAACAUAACACUAAGAAAAAGAGGUUGUGGCCUCCCGCGCUCAUGGGCCGGGCCAGCUCGCUGGCCCUUCAACGAGUACCACCUAAGCAUUCGCUGAAGACGAGACAUAGUCGCGCCCUAACACGCGGCACAUAGCUGGGGGCAAACCCUAAACGGCGCCCUCUGCGCCCGUUCCUUCGAUCUAUGCAAACGGGCGCACACCCCCCACGCCGAGCUGGGUUGGCCCAUACUCCCUUCCUUUUCUGGUUUAAACUGGCGCAAAAAAAAGCGAUCGACAGGAUUCGAACCCCCCACGUCCUCAUGCAAGCUAGCUUCGAUAGCCAACCACACCAAUCCCACCGAUGUGGUGAUAUGUAACCUUUUUAUCAUUUUGUUCUUUCUUCCAUUUUUUUUCUCUUUCCUUUUUCUAAUUCAACGGAAAAAGUUCAUCGAAUUUGAUGAUCCUUUUUUCAAAUCUGUUAAACUUUUUCAAAAAUUGAUGAACCUUUUCAUUUUCGAUGCACUUUUUUCAAACCCGAUAUCGGUGAAAUCUUUUUUUUUUCAAAUUUGGUGAACCAUUUUUUAGUUGUGAACGUUUUAUAAAAUCGAUGAACUUUUUUCAAAAUCGGUGAACUUUUUUUCAAAAUCAAUGAACUUUUUUCAAAUUUGAUGAACUAUUUUAGAAAACCGAUGAUUUUUUUACUUGUGAAAGUUUUUUGAAAAUCGAUGAACUUUUUUCAAAAUCAGUGAACUUUUUUUCAAAAUUGAUGAACUUUUUCCAAAUUUGAUGAACUAUUUUAGAAAACCGAUGAUUUUUUUACUCGUGAACAUUUUAUGAAAAUCAAUGAACUUUUUUCAAAAUCGGUGAACUUUUUUCAAAAUCGAUGAUUUUUUUUUUCAAAUUUGAUGAACUAUUUUAGAAAACCGAUGAUUUUUUUACUUGUGAACGUUUUUUGGAAAUCGAUGAACUUUUUUCAAAAUUGGUGAACUUUUUUUCAAAAUCGAUGAACUUUUUUCAAAUUUGAUGAACUAUUAUAAAAACCAAUGAACUUAUUUUUGGAAACGGAUGAACUUUUUUUCGUACAUUUUUUUGUGUGGAGGACGAAGCGUAUGUUUUUUUGAGUGAAAGAACGAAGCAUAGUUUUUUUAAAGAGAACAAAGCGUAUGCAAGCGUGAGCUGGCGAGCGAUUCACUGAAUUGCCUCGUGAUGGGCUGGCCCAUACCAGGUGCUACGUGGGCGCCAGAAACUCCAACCGGUGCUGAAGGCGCCGGUUAGGAGCUUUUUUAGGAGGAAGGCUCGCGAAGAGCCUGACUUUGAAUUAACAAAGCCAUCACCCGGCCAGGAAUUACAGACACACAACAGAUCACAUCGGCCCAACGAUACAAGGGAGCAUUCUAGGGAGCUUACAACUCAAAGCAGCGCACAAGCUUGAAAGAUAAACAAAGCCCAUUGGUUGCACUAGCAGAAGACCGCAACAAACAGGUACCGAGGGAAGCGACCAUCAAGCAGGAUGAUGACCUGCUAAAACAGAGUGAGGGCAUGAACUGGGCUGAUGCCCACGAUGAAGAGAUUGAAGCAUCUUCCUCCUCUCGUGCCGCAGAGGAACCCUUCCCUCUCGCCUUGGAUCGAAAGGUGUCGACCCAGCAGACCUGAGAAGCGCUCACCCUAGAGCAGAAGAGGUGCCGACCUCGAGACCUGGAGCAACCGCAAAGCACCAUCCCAAAGCCAAUGAGCACACAACAUCCGCCAUACUGCCGCAACUUAGGACACCAGUAAGCUGCAGGAAAGCCACCAGGAGUAGGUGCUGAAGAAAGGCCAGCAAGGACAUCAAGGAGGACCGCAGAACGUCGAGGAGCAAGGCCCGUUGGCCGUUGAAGAAGAGAACCGGGAGCCCACAGCCGGGACGUGUUGCAGUUGCUGGGAAGGGGAACCCUAUCCCCUACCGCUGGAUCGAAGGCACUGCACCACCAGCCUUGUGACAAACACGCCGCAACCAGUGUGAUCCACCCAUUAGGGGAACGGAGACAAUGGCAACCAUGCAAAUCCCGAUGGAACCGCCGCCACCAGACAACCAUAGCCGCCCAAAGCUCCAACCUUUGACCCACCUCACCCGAACACGAUCCCUCCCCAGGCGGCACCUCCAAGGAGGAGCACGACACGAGAUGCGCCGUUGCCGCCCAAUCCUAGCCAGAUUUUGGGCUUUCACCCGGGAGGAGGAACGAGGGUGGGGAGGGAGGACCUUCAGCUGCACCUCCAAGGAGGAAGAACGGCGCCUAUGGCGUCGCUGCCGCCGGGCCGGACAAGCCAACCAAUGGUUUCCCGCAGUCCUAGACCUCGCCACCGAGCACACACCAGCUCUUGAUCCGGCGCGCAUGGCACUAGAGAAUGGAUACAGGGUGCAGAGGGAGUCAAAGAGGAAGGAUCCAAACCUCAGAUCCGACGAGGAGGGGGGACUCCGCGCUGUAGCCAACCCCCGCUGGCGGCUCACCACCCGCGUGGUCGAGCACGCCGACCAGAAUCACCCGCAACCGGCUCCAACCGAGGAGGAUGCCGCUGCCUCGCCAAGAAGGGCCGCCGCCGCAGAUCCGGGGACCUCCGCCAGGAACGGAGCGCCAGAGGCCUUGCCGCCACCUUCCCGGGCAUCCGCGGGAUAAGGCCCGACGAGAUCCUCAGGUGGCGGCGAGGGGAAAGCAGGGGAAGGGGGUGGCAGCGCGGGGGAAAACCUAAUCGCCACCCGAGUCGCCCAGGCAGACGACGCGGGGGCCGGGGGUCUGGAGCCGCCGGUUAGGAGCUCCCAUAGCUGGGUAGCGAGCAAACGCACACCCUGUUGAUUCGCUUCCACACACACUGGGGCGGCCCAUGUAGAUUUUUUAAAGACUGUCUAUUAUGGUUUUCGAAAGGUUCUAGAACCUUUCUAGACCGAUUUUUUCCUGCAUUAUUUCUUUUGCUUUUUUUUUCAUUUUUCUUCGCACUUUUGUUUUCUUCUUUCGGACAUUUUUAGAAUUCGGGAACAGUUUUCUGAAAUCAUGAACUUUUUCCCGAAAUCAUGAACAUUCUUUAAAUUUGCAACAUUUUUUUAAUUCUUAUUCAUUUUGAAAAUCCAUGAACAAAUUCGGUAUUCAUGAAUAAUUUUUGAAAUUGAAAACAUUUUCUCGGCUUCACAAAUAAUUUUUCAUAUUGUGAGCUUAUUCUUAGUUAAUGAACAUUUUUUAACUCGUGAACAUUUUUUAAAAUUUGUGAUUUUUUUCAAAAGCAUGAACAUUUGAUGAAGUCCCCAAAAUAUUCAAAUUCGUGAAUAUUUUUUGAAAUUAAAAAAAACCCGACAUUGUUUUUCAAAAUUUUGAUUUUAAUGAAUAAUUCUUGAAUAAAAACAAAUAAAAGAAGAAAACAAAAAAACUAGGGGGCCCAACCUACAUAUGGGUCGGUCCAAGAUGCACGCUGGGGCGCAUGGGGGUGCACAAUUGGUGGCUCUUUGUCCGCAUCGGCUAUGUAUUGCUCGUGCUUGAUCCUAAUAGGAAUCACCUCAAGGAGGGUUGCGACUGGGCUCAGCCUGUUUUCUUCUCUUGUGUUUACUUUUGUUUCGUUUCCCCCUCCUCAUUUCUUCUCCUUCUUUUCCUUUCAUUUUCUCCUCCUCAUUUCUUUCUCCGCGUGCUCCUACGCCUCUUGAGUGCCUCUCACCAGGAGCUACAGUCUAGAUUCAAGGGUUUGUUGAUGCUAGGUGCUGGUUUGUUCAAUAUUCUCGCCACUUCUUUGUUGUUUUGAUAGGCUUCUAAUCCCCCAUCUUUUUGGUGUUAAUGUUUUUGUUCUUUCUUUUGUUUGGCAUGGAUGGAUUGAGAAGGAAGGAUGCAAAGUGGAAGUCGACCGGUGUGCAAGGUAUUGUUCUUUCAAUUACUGUUCUAUGUUCUUUUCCCUUGAUCUACAGUGUGAAUGUCUGUAUGGUGGACUUGUGUGUGGUUUUUUAUCCCGAUCUAUCUAGUGAUAGGUUUAAGUCCUUUGAAAUGGUAGGUAUUUUGUCUUUCACUUGGUUUUAGCUAUCAAUAAGUAGUGGAAAGUGUAGAAAUGGUAGUAACCUUUCACUAGGUUUUACCUUUGAAAUGGUAGGUGUUUUGCUACACUAUCUGUCUAGUAAUUAAAUACUGUUGAGACAAUGCAUGGUUACUACUAUAAUCUAGUGAUUGGAUACCAUAUAUUAAGGUUACAGGUUGGUAGCUUACUUGGUUUCACCUAGUGUAGCAACUAUACUCCAGUGCUUGGUUGUUUAGACAUGUUAUGUGCAAGUAUUGUUCAUGACUAGUAACUAAUAGUAUCUGAGUGUUUGGUUUUGUUCUUGUGUCAUUUUCCAGAUUGCUGAUUUCUUUUGGAUAAGUACGAUACUUAAUUAUUUAGUAAUUGGCACACUUUUUAUAUUGAUGUGUUCAUGGUUUGUUAUACUACUAUUUAUUAUUGCCUUGCUUGCAUUUAAUAAUUGUAGUUUACUAUUUAUUACUAUUUCUUAUUUUCUGUUUUAGAAACUCUCAUUUUGAUUUAGCUUGUUUGGUGCAUACAAUUCAGAAUAGUACAAAGCUAAAUUGGAAUUUAGUUUGUGAUGUUUGAUUUGGAAACAUAGGUUACACAUCACUGAACAAACAAGUGUUUCAUUUUUUAAACCCAUCGAGUAAGUAUAGUGAUGUUUCAUGUGUUCUUUAUCAUUGUUAUCGCCACUGGGUUAUUUUGUUUGGUAUAGUGUUUUCUUUACAUGCUUCUGUUUUUGUUUUCCAAACAUUGAUACCCAUUCAGUAAUUAACAAACUGUGAGAAUACCUUGAAUACUAAUCUCUGAACAAGUGUUUUUAAACCAGUAAACAAGUGUAUUCUUGGUUCUCUCCGAUUUGGCACUGUAAGAAACUCCUUUUGCGUGAUUUCUCUGCAUCAUAUGGAUAUUAAUUUGUACUGAUAGAGUGUGUGCCUGUUACAUUGAGUGUAUGCCUUUAAGAUGUCAUUGCCUAUGCAAAAUUCAAAGAUCAACAUGUUGCAGCUACUUUUUGACAACUUUAUUGCUGCUUUGUCACUUUUCUCUCUCGGUAUUUAGGGUGACCAUUUUGUCUUAGUGCAUAGCUAAAUGGUCAUUAACUAUGCAUUCCAAUAUCUGAACUCUUUAGUAAAUGAGAAUUGAAGGUCGUCUAAUAGUCAAGUUUAGUUUGCUAGGGAUGAUCACAUUCAAUUGCUGCAUUUGUGUAAGCUUGUUCUUUGUCAUUAUGUUUGGUUGUUGUUUUCUUUAGUAGUUAGUUCUAAAUCAUUAUUUUACUAGUUAGUUCAUGAACUGAUUAUGCAUUGUUUUCUUCUGUCGUAGGGUUGGUUUAAAGAGGUCAACCAUGGUAGGGAGGUUUAAAGCUCAUGGUGUUCAUGUGCCUCUUAAGAUCAAGUUUUCUACAUUAAUGUUCAUCAAGGGAGUCAAGAAUUUGACUGCCUGACAAAUAGCCCAUGCUCACAGUUAUGAUCACCAAAAUCUCUUGCUCAUCCCUGAUCACCUGAUGAUUCCUCCUGCUUUACUACAAUGGGUCCUUGAUCAUAUGGAUUAUGCUGGUGUUGGUAUCUUCUGUGAGAAGAAGAUCAUUCAUCUGAUAAGAGAGAUGGUUACUCAAGUGUUCGGGAUUCAUUUUGGGCGUGUACAAUUUCCUAUGAAGACUGAUGAUCAUGUAGUUGAAGAUAAAAUGCAGGAGCUUCAUACUUAUUACCAACGUGGUUAGAAGGGCAUUUAUGUGAAUAACAUCGUAUCUUUGAUGGCUAGUGAUGGGAGUGAAGAGGGUUUCAUCCGAGGCUUUGUUAUUGUUCUUGAUCUUAACAGCUGUGAUGUGCCCAAAGAGUACAUUAUGCCAAUUGGAAAUUUCUAUAUGGUCUUCAUGACAGUGAUAAGAUAAGGUCAUAUGAUUUUCCUUCCCCUGUGCAUUGACCACUUGAUGGAUGACAUCGUCAACCACUCGAUCAGACGAUGCAGAGACGCCUCAAGAGGCUGUUGGGGAACGCAGUAAUUUCAAAGAAAAUCCUAUGCACAUGCAAGAUCCAUCUAGGUGAUGCAUAGCAACGAGAGGGGAGAGUGUUGUCCAUGUACCCUCAUAGACCGUAAGAGGAAGCGUUAUGACAACGCGGUUGAUGUAGUCGUACGUCUUCACGAUCCGACCGAUCCUAGCACCGAAGAUACGGCACCUCUGCGAUAUGCACACGUUCAACUCGGUGAUGUCCCACGAACUCUAGAUCCAGCUGCGGUCGAGGGAGAGUUGCGUCAGCAAGACGACGUGGUGACGAUGAUAAUGAAGCUACCUAUUGGGUUUCGUAGUAAUUUCAAAAAAAUUCCUACGCACACGCAAGAUCAUGGUGAUGCAUAGCAACGAGAGGGGAGAGUGUGAUCUACGUACCCUUGUAGAUCGACAACGGAAGCGUUAGCACAACGUGGUUGAUGUAGUCGUACAUCUUCACGGUUCGACCGAUCAAGCACCGAAACUACGGCGCCUCCGAGUUCUAGCACACGUUCAGCUCGAUGACGAUCCCCGGACUCCGAUCCAGCAAAGUGUCAGGGAAGAGUUCCGUCAGCACGACGGCGUGGUGACGAUCUUGAUGUACUACUGUCGCAGGGCUUCGCCUAAGCACCGCUACAAUAUUAUCAAGGACAAUGGUGGAAGGGGGCACCGCACACGGCUAAGAAUAUGAUCACGUGGAUCAACUUGUGUCUCUAGGGGUGCCCCCUGCCUCCGUAUAUAAAGGAUCAAAAGGGGGGGUGCGGCUGGCCAGGGAGGGUGCGCCAGGAGGAUUCCUACUCCCUCUGGGAGUAGGAUCCCCCCUUUCCUAGUUGGAAUAGGAUUCGGGAGGGGGGAAAGAGGAGAGAGAGAAGGAAGGGGGCGCCGGCCCCCUCUCCUUGUCCUAUUCGGACUAGGGGGGAGGGGCGCGCGACCCAGCCCUAGCCACCUCUCCUCUCUUCCACUAAAGCCCACUAAGGCCCAUAUACCUCCCGGGGGGUUCCGGUAACCUCCCGGUACUCCGGUAAAAUCCCGAUUUCACCCGGAACACUUCCGAUAUCCAAAUAUAGGCUUCCAAUAUAUCAAUCUUUAUGUCUCGACCAUUUCGAGACUCCUCGUCAUGUCCGUGAUCACAUCCGGGACUCCGAACAAACUUCGGUACAUCAAAACUCAUAAACUCAUAAUAUAACUGUCAUCAAAACCUUAAGCGUGCGGACCCUACGGGUUCGAGAACAAUGUAGACAUGACUGAGACAAGUCUCCGGUCAAUAACCAAUAGCGCAACCUGGAUGCUCAUAUUGGCUCCUACAUAUUCUAUGAAGAUCUUUUAUCGGUCAGACCGCAUAACAACAUACGUUGUUCCUUUUGUCAUCGGUAUGUUACUUGCUCGAGAUUCGAUCGUCGGUAUCUUAAUACCUAGUUCAAUCUCAUUAUCGGCAAGUCUCUUUACUCGUUCCGUAAUACAUCAUCUCACAACUAACUCAUUAGUUGCAAUGCUUGCAAGGCUUAUGUGAUGUGCAUUACCGAGAGGACCUAGAGAUACCUCUCCGACAAUCGGAGUGACAAAUCCUAAUCUCGAAAUACGCCAACCCAACAUGUACCUUUGGAGACACCUGUAGAGCACCUUUAUAAUCACCCAUUUACGUUGUGACGUUUGGUAGCACACAAAGUGUUCCUCCAGCAAACGGGAGUUGCAUAAUCUCAUAGUCAUAGGAACAUGUAUAAGUCAUGAAGAAAGCAAUAGCAACAUACUAAAUGAUCGGGUGCUAAGCUAAUGGAAUGGGUCAUGUCAAUCAGAUGAUUCACCUAAUGAUGUGAUCCCAUUAAUCAAAUAACAACUCUUUGUCUAUGGUUAGGAAACAUAACCAUCUUUGAUCAACGAGCUAGUCUAGUAGAGGCAUACUAGUGACACUCUAUUUGUCUAUGUAUUCACACAUGUAUUAUGUUUCCGGUUAAUACAAUUCUAGCAUGAAUAAUAAACAUUUAUCAUGAUAUAAGGAAAUAAGUAAUAACUUUAUUAUUGCCUCUAGGGCAUAUUUCCUUGAGUCUCCCACUUGCACUAGAGUCAAUAAUCUAGAUUACACAGUAAUGAUUCUAACACCCAUGGAGCCUUGGUGCUGAUCAUGUUUUGCUCGUGGAAGAGGCUUAGUCAACGGGUCUGCUACAUUCAGAUCCGUGUGUAUCUUGCAAAUAUCUAUGUCUCCCACCUGGACUAGAUCCCGGAUGGAAUUGAAGCGUCUCUUGAUGUGCUUGGUUCUCUUGUGAAAUCUGGAUUCCUUUGUCAAGGCAAUUGCACCAGUAUUGUCACAAAAGAUUUUCAUUGGACCCGAUGCACUAGGUAUGACACCUAGAUCGGAUAUGAACUCCUUCAUCCAGACUCCUUCAUUUGCUGCUUCCGAAGCAGCUAUGUAUUCCGCUUCACACGUAGAUCCCGCCACGACACUUUGUUUAGAACUGCACCAACUGACAGCUCCACCGUUUAAUGUAAACACGUAUCCGGUUUGCAAUUUAGAAUCGUCCGGAUCAGUGUCAAAGCUUGCAUCGACGUAACCAUUUACGAUUAGCUCUUUGUCACCUCCAUAAACGAGAAACAUAUCCUUAGUCCUUUUCAGGUAUUUCAGGAUGUUCUUGACCGCUGUCAAGUGAUCCACUCCUGGAUUACUUUGAUACCUCCCUGCUAGACUUAUAGCAAGGCACACAUCAGGUCUGGUACACAGCAUUGCAUACAUGAUAGAGCCUAUGGCUAAAGCAUAGGGAACAUCUUUCAUUUUCUCUCUAUCUUCUGCAGUGGUCGGGCAUUGAGUCUGACUCAACUUCACACCUUGUAACACAGGCAAGAACCCUUUCUUUGCUUGAUCCAUUUUGAACUUCUUCAAAACUUUUUCAAGGUAUGUGCUUUGUGAAAGUCCAAUUAAGCGUCUUGAUCUAUCUCUAUAGAUCUUUAUGCCUAAUAUGUAAGUAGCUUCACCGAGGUCUUUCAUUGAAAAACUCUUAUUCAAGUAUCCCUUUAUGCCAUCCAGAAAUUCUAUAUCAUUUCCAAUUAGUAAUAUGUCAUCCACAUAUAAUAUCAGAAAUGCUACACAGCUCCCACUCACUUUCUUGUAAAUACAGGCUUCUCCAAAAGUCUGUAUAAAACCAAAUGCCUUGAUCACACUAUCAAAGUGUUUAUUCCAACUCCGAGAGGCUUGCACCAGUCCAUAAAUGGAUCACUGGAGCUUGCACACUUUGUUAGCUCCCUUUGGAUCGACAAAACCUUCUGGUUGCAUCAUAUACAACUCUUCUUCUAGAAAUCCAUUCAGGAAUGCAGUUUUGACAUCCAUCUGCCAAAUUUCAUAAUCAUAAAAUGCGGCAAUUGCUAACAUGAUUCGGACAGACUUAAGCAUCGCUACGGGUGAGAAGGUCUCAUCGUAGUCAACCCCUUGAACUUGCCGAAAACCUUUUGCGACAAGUCGAGCUUUGUAGACAGUAAUAUUACCGUCAGCGUCAGUCUUCUUCUUGAAGAUCCAUUUAUUCUCAAUUGCUUGCCGAUCAUUGGGCAAGUCAACCAAAGUCCAUACUUUGUUCUCAUACAUGGAUCCCAUCUCAGAUUUCAUGGCUUCAAGCCAUUUUGCGGAAUCUGGGCUCACCAUCGCUUCUUCAUAGUUCGUAGGUUCAUCGUGAUCUAGUAGCAUGACUUCUAGAACAGGAUUACCGUACCACUCUGGCGCGGAUCUCACUCUGGUUGAUCUACGAGGUUCAGUAGUAUCUUGUUCUGAAGUUUCAUGAUCAUCAUCAUUAGCUUCCUCACUAAUUGGUGUAGGUGUCACAGAAACAGGUUUCGGUGAUGUACUACUUUCCAAUAAGGGACUAGGUACAGUUACCUCAUCAAGUUCUACUUUCCUCCCACUCACUUCUUUCGAGAGAAACUCCUUCUCCAGAAAGUUUCCGAAUUUAGCAACAAAAUUCUUGCCUUCGGAUCUGUGAUAGAAGGUGUAUCCAAUAGUUUCCUUUGGAUAUCCUAUGAAUACACAUUUCUCCGAUUUGGGUUCGAGCUUAUCAGGUUGAAGCUUUUUCACAUAAGCAUCGCAGCCCCAAAUUUUCAGAAACAACAACUUUGCUUUCUUGCCAAACCACAGUUCAUAAGGCGUCGUCUCAACGGAUUUUGAUGGUGCCCUAUUUAACGUGAAUGCAGCCGUCUCUAGAGCAUAUCCCCAAAACGAUAGCGGUAAAUCAGUAAGAGACAUCAUAGAUCGUACCAUAUCUAGUAAAGUACGAUUACGAUGUUCGGACACACCAUUACGCUGUGGUGUUCCGGGUGGCGUGAGUUGUGAAACUAUUCCAUAUUGUUUCAAAUGUACACCAAACUCGUAACUCAAAUAUUCUCCUCCACGAUCAGAUCAUAGGAAUUUUAUUUUCUUGUUACGAUGAUUUUCAACUUCACUCUGAAAUUCUUUGAACUUUUCAAACGUUUCAGACUUGUGUUUCAUUAAGUAGAUAUACCCAUAUCUGCUUAAGUCAGCUGUGAAGGUGAGAAAAUAAUGAUAUCCGCCACGAGCCUCAACAUUCAUCGGACCACAUACAUCUGUAUGUAUGAUUUCUAACAAAUCUGUUGCUCUCUCCAUAGUACCGGAGAACGGUGUUUUUGUCAUCUUACCCAUAAGGCAUGGUUCGCAAGUACCAAGUGAUUCAUAAUCAAGCGGUUCCAAAAGCCCAUCAGUAUGGAGUUUCUUCACGCGCUUUAUACCGAUAUGACCUAAACGGCAGUGCCACAAAUAAGUUGCACUAUCAUUAUCAACUCUGCAUCUUUUGGUUUCAACACUAUGAAUAUGUGUGUCACUACUAUCAAUAUUUAAUAAGAAUAGACCACUCUUUAAGGGUGCAUGACCAUAAAAGAUAUUACUCAUGUAAAUAGAACAACCAUUAUUCUCUGAUUUAAAUGAAUAACCGUCUCGCAUCAAACAAGAUCCAGAUAUAAUGUUCAUGCUUAAUGCUGGCACCAAAUAACAAUUAUUUAGGUCUAAUAUUAAUCCCGAAGGUAGAUGUAGAGGUAGCGUGCCGACUGCGAUCACAUCGACUUUGGAACCGUUUCCCACGUGCAUCGUCACCUCGUCCUUAGCCAAUCUUCGCUUAAUCUGUAGUCCCUGUUUCGAGUUGCAAAUAUUAGCAACAGAACCAGUAUCAAAUACCCAGGUGCUACUGCGAGCAUUAGUAUGGUACACAUCAAUAACAUGUAUAUCAGAUAUACCUUUGUUCACCUUGCCAUCCUUCUUAUCCGCCAAAUACUUGAGGCAGUUCCGCUUCCAGUGACCAGUCUGCUUGCAGUAGAAGCACUCAGUUUCAGGCUUAGGUCCAGGUUUGGGUUUCUUCUCUUGAGCAGCAACUUGCUUGCUGUUCUUUUUGAAGUUCCCCUUCUUCUUCCCUUUGCCCUUUUUCUUGAAACUAGUGGUCUUGUUGACCAUCAACACUUGAUGCUCCUUCUUGAUUUCUACCUCCGCAGCUUUCAGCAUUGCGAAGAGCUCGGGAAUAGUCUUAUUCAUCCCUUGCAUAUUAUAGUUCAUCACGAAGCUCUUGUAGCUUGGUGGCAGUGAUUGGAGAAUUCUGUCAAUGACGCAAUCAUCUGGAAGAUUAACUCCCAAUUGAAUCAAGUGAUUAUUAUACCCAGACAUUUUGAGUAUAUGCUCACUGACAGAACUGUUCUCCUCCAUCUUGCAUCUAUAGAACUUAUUGGAAACUUCAUAUCUCUCAAUCCGGGCAUUUGCUUGAAAUAUUAACUUCAACUCCUGGAACAUCUCAUAUGCUCCAUGAUGUUCAAAACAUCGUUGAAGUCCCGAUUCUAAGCCGUAAAGCAUGGCACACUGAACUAUCGAGUAGUCAUCAGCUUUGCUCUGCCAAAUGUUCAUAACAUCUGGUGUUGCUCCAGCAGCAGGCUUGGCACCCAGCGGUGCUUCCAGGACGUAAUUCUUCUGUGUAGCAAUGAGGAUAAUCCUCAAGUUACGGACCCAGUCCGUGUAAUUACUACCAUCAUAUUUCAACUUUGCUUUCUCAAGGAACGCAUUAAAAUUCAACGGAACAACAGCACGGGCCAUCUAUCUACAAACAAACCUAAAUAAGCAAGAUACUAUCAGGUACUAAGUUCAUGAUAAAUUUAGGUUCAAUUAAUCAUAUUACUUAAGAACUCCCACUUAGAUAGACAUCCCUCUGAUCCUCUAAGUGAUUACGUGAUCCAAAUCAACUAAACCAUGUCCGAUCAUCACGUGAGAUGGAGUAAUUUCAUUGGUGAACAUCGCUAUGUUGAUCAUAUCUGCUAUAUGAUUCACGCUCGAACUUUCGGUCUCCGUGUUCCGUGGCCAUAUCUGUAUAUGCUUGGCUCGUCAAGUAUAACCUGAGUAUUCCGCGUGUGCAACUGUUUUGCACCCGUUGUAUUUGAACGUAGAGCCUAUCACACCCGAUCAUCACGUGGUGUCUCAGCACGAAGAACUUUCGUAAUGGUGCAUACUCAGGGAGAACACUUCUUGAUAAUUAGUGAGAGAUCAUCUUAUAAUGCUACCGUCAAUCAAAGCAAGAUAAGAUGCAUAAAAGAUAAACAUCACAUGCAAUCAAUAUAAGUGAUAUGAUAUGGCCAUCAUCAUCUUGUGCUUGUGAUCUCCAUCUUUGAAGCACCGUCGUGAUCACCAUCGUCACCGGUGCGACACCUUGAUCUCCAUCAUAGCAUCGUUGUCGUCUCGCCAAUCUUAUGCCUCCACGACUAUUGCUACCGCUUAGUGAUAAAGUAAAGCAUUACAGCGCGAUUGCAUUGCAUACAAUAAAGCGACAACCAUAUGGCUCCUGCCAGUUGCCGAUAACUCGGUUACAAAACAUGAUCAUCUCAUACAAUAAAAUUUAGCAUCAUGUCUUGACCAUAUCACAUCACAACAUGCCCUGCAAAAACAAGUUAGACGUCCUCUACUUUGUUGUUGCAUGUUUUACGUGGCUGCUACGGGCUUAAGCAAGAACCAAUCUUACCUACGCAUCAAAACCACAACGAUAGUUUGUCAAGUUGGUGCUGUUUUAACCUUCGCAAGGACCGGGCAUGGACACACUUGGUUCAACUAAAGUUGGAGAAACUGUCACCCGCUAGCCACCUUUGUGCAAAGCACGUCGGGAGAACCGGUCUCGCGUAAGCGUACGCGUAAUGUCGGUCCGGGCCGCUUCGUCCAACAAUACCGCCGAACCAAAGUAUGACAUGCUGGUAAGCAGUAUGACUUAUAUCGCCCACAACUCACUUGUGUUCUACUCGUGCAUAUAACAUCAACACAUAAAACCUAGGCUCAGAUGCCACUGUUGGGUUUCGUAGUAAUUUCAAAAAAUUUCCUACGCACACGCAAGAUCAUGGUGAUGCGUAGCAACGAGAGGGGAGAGUGUGAUCUACGUACCCUUGUAGAUUGGCAACGGAAGCGUUAGCAUAACGUGGUUGAUGUAGUCGUACAUCUUCACGGUCCGACCGAUUAAGCACCGAAACUACGGCACCUCCGAGUUCUAGCACACGUUCAGCUCGAUGACGAUCCCUGGACUCCGAUCCAGCAAAGUGUCGGGGAAGAGUUCCGUUAGCACGACGGCGUGGUGACGAUCUUGAUGUACUACCGUCGCAGGGCUUCGCCUAAGCACGACUACAAUAUUAUCGAGGACUAUGGUGGAAGGGGGCACCGCACACGGAUAAGAAUAUGAUCACGUGGAUCAACUUGUGUCUCUAGGGGUGCCCCCUGCCUCCGUAUAUAAAGGAUCAAAAGGGGGGUGCGGCCGGCCAGGGAGGGUGCGCCAGGAGGAGUCCUACUCCCUCCGGGAGUAGGAUUCCCCCCCUUUCCUAGUUGGAAUAGGAUUCGGGAGGGGGGAAGAGGAGAGAGAGAAGGAAGGGGGGCGCCGGCCCCCUCUCCUUGUCCUAUUCAGACUAGGGGGGAGGGGCGCGCGGCCCAGCCCUGGCCACCUCUCCUCUCUUCCACUAAAGCCCACUAAGGCCCAUAUACCUCCUGGGGGGUUCCGAUAACCUCCCGGUACUCUGGUAAAAUCCCGAUUUCACCCGGAACACUUCCGAUAUCCAAAUAUAGGCUUCCAAUAUAUCAAUCUUUAUGUCUCGACCAUUUCGAGACUCCUCGUCAUGUCCGUGAUCACAUUCGGGACUCCGAACAAACUUCGGUACAUCAAAACUCAUAAACUCAUAAUAUAACUGUCAUCGAAACCUUAAGCGUGCGGACCCUACGGGUUCGAGAACAAUGUAGACAUGACCAAGACACGUCUCCGGUCAAUAACCAAUAGCGGAACCUGGAUGCUCAUAUUGGCUCCUACAUAUUCUACGAAGAUCUUUUAUCGGUCAGACCGCAUAACAACAUACGUUGUUCCUUUUGUCAUCGGUAUGUUACUUGCCCGAGAUUCGAUCAUCGGUAUUUUAAUACCUAGUUCAAUCUCGUUACCGGCAACUCUCUUUACUCGUUCCGUAAUACAUCAUCUCACAACUAACUCAUUAGUUGCAAUGCUUGCAAGGCUUAUGUGAUGUGCAUUACCGAGAGGGCCUAGAGAUACCUCUCCGACAAUCGGAGUGACAAAUCCUAAUCUCAAAAUACGCCAACCCAACAUGUACCUUUGGAGACACCUAUAGAGAACCUUUAUAAUCACCCAUUUACAUUGUGACGUUUGGUAGCACACAAAGUGUUCCUCCGGCAAACGGGAGUUGCAUAAUCUCAUAGUCAUAGGAACAUGUAUAAGUCAUGAAGAAAGCAGUAGCAACAUACUAAACGAUCGGGUGCUAUGCUAAUGGAAUGGGUCAUGUCGAUUAGAUCAUUCACCUAAUGAUGUGAUCCCGUUAAUCAAAUAACAACUCUUUGUCUAUCGUUAGGAAACAUAACCAUCUUUGAUCAACGAGCUAGUCUAGUAGAGGCAUACUAGUGACACUCUGUUUGUCUAUGUAUUCACACAUGUAUUAUGUUUCCGGUUAAUACAAUUCUAGCAUGAAUAAUAAAUAUUUAUCAUGAUAUAAGGAAAUAAGUAAUAACUUUAUUAUUUCCUCUAGGGCAUAUUUCCUUCACUACCGGCGUAGGGAUUCGCCUAAGCACUGCAACGAUAUGACCGAGGUGGAAAUCUUUGGAGGGGGCACCGCACACGGCUAAGACAACUGUCAACUUGUGUGUCUAUGGGGUGCCCCCUCCCUCGUAUAUAAAGGAGUGGAGGAGGGGAGGGCCGGCCCUCUCUAUGGCGCGCCCCAAAGGGGUUUCCUACUCCUAGUAGGAGUAGGUUUCCCCCCUUCCCUAGUUGGAGUAGGAGAAGAAGGAAGGGGAAGAGGGAGAGAAGGAAAGAGGGGGGCGCCGCCCCCUCCCUAGUCCAAUAUGGACCAGCCCAUGGGGGGCCCCGCAGCCACCCCUUGAGGCCCUUCUCUCCUUUCCCGUAUGGCCCAUUACUUCCCCGGGGAAUUCCCUAACUCUUCGGUACUCUAAAAAAUACCCGAAUCACUCGAAACCUUUCCGAUGUCCGAAUAUAGCCUUCCAAUAUAUCGAUCUUUACGUCUCGACCAUUUUGAGACUCCUCGUCAUGUCCAUGAUCUCAUCCGGGACUCCGAACAACCUUCGGUACAACAAAUCACAUAACUCAUAAUACAAAUUGUCAUUGAACGUUAAGCGUGCAGACCCUACGAAUUCGAGAACUAUGUAGACAUGAUCGAGACACAUCUACGGUCAAUAACCAAUAGCGGGACCUGGAUGCUCAUAUUGGCUCUUACAUAUUCUACGAAGAUCUUUAUCGGUCAAACCGCAUAACAACAUACGUCAUUCCCUUUGUCAUCGGUAUGUUACUUGCCCGAGAUUCGAUCGUCGGUAUCAUCAUACCUAGUUCAAUCUCGUUACCGGCAAGUCUCUUUACUCGUUCCGUAAUGUAUCAUCCCGCAACUAACUCAUUAGUCACAUUGCUUGCAAGGCUCAUACUGAUGUACAUUACCGAGAGGGCCCAAACAUACCUCUCCGAUAGACGAAGUGACAAAUUCUAAUCUCGAUCUAUGCCAACCCAACAAAAACCAUCGAAGACACCUGUAGAGCAUCUUCAUAAUCACUCAGUUACGUUGUGACGUUUGAUAGCACACAAGGUGUUCCUCCGGUAUUCGGAAGUUGCAUAAUCUCAUAGUCAGAGGAACAUGUAUAAGUCAUGAAGAAAGCAAUAACAAUAAAACUGAAUGAUCAUUAUGCUAAGCUAACGGAUGGGUCUUGUCCAUCACAUCAUUCUCUAAUGAUGUGAUCAACAUUCAUAAAAUGACAACACAUGUCGAUGGCUAGGAAACUUAACCAUCUUUGAUUAACGAGCUAGUCAAGUAGAGGCAUACUAGGGACACUCUGUUUGUCUAUGUAUUCACACAUGUACUACAUUUCCGGUUAAUACAAUUCUAGCAUGAAUAAUAAACAUUUAUCAUGAUAUAAGGAAAUAUAAAUAACAACUUUAUUAUUGCCUCUAGGGCAUAUUUCCUUUAGUCUCCCACUUGCACUAGAGUCAAUAAUCUAGUUCACAUUGUCAUGUGAUUUAACACCAAUAGUUCACAUCUUUAUGUGAUUAGUUCACAUCUCCAUGUGACUAACACCCAAAGGGUUUACUAGAGUCAAUAAUCUAGUUCACAUCGCUAUGUGAUUAACACCCAAAGAGUGAUCAUGUUUUGCUUGUGAGAGAAAUUUAGUCAAUGGGUCUGCCACAUUCAGAGCCGUAUGUGUUUUGCAAAUUUACUGUCUACAAUGCUUUACACGGAGCUACUCUAGCUAAUUGCUCCCACUUUCAAUAUGUAUCUAGAUCGAGACUUAGAGUCAUCCAGAUCGGUGUCAAAGCUUGCAUCGAUGUAACUCUUUACGACGAACUCUUUGUCACCUCCAUAACCGAGAAACAUUUCCUUAUUCCACUAAGGAUAUUUAUGACCGUUGUCUAGUGAUCCACUCCUGGAUCCAAACUUAUGGUGAAGUACACAAUAGGUCUGGUACACAACAUAGCAUACUUUAUAGAACCUAUGACCGAGGCAUAGGGAAUGACUUUUCAUUCUCUUUCUAUUUUAUGCCAUGGUUGGGUUUUGAGUCUUUACUCAACUUCACACCUUGCAACACAGGCAAGAACUCUUUCUUUGACUGUUCCAUUUUGAACUACUUCAAAUCUUGUCAAGGUAUGUACUCAUUGGAAAUAUAUCAAGCGUCUUGAUCUAUCUCUAUAGAUCUUGAUGCUCAACAUGUAAGUAGCUUCACCGAGGUCUUUCUUUGAAAAAUUCCUUUCAAACACUCCUUUAUGCUUUUCAGAAAAUUCUACAUCAUUUCCGAUCAACAAUAUGUCAUUCACAUAUACUUAUCAGAAAGGCUGUAGUGCUCCCACUCACUUUCUUGUAAAUACAGGUUUUUUUCGCAAGUCUGUAUAAAACUAUAUGCUUUGAUCAGCUUAUCAAAGCGUAUAUUCCAACUCCGAGAUGCUUGCACCAAUCCAUAGAUGGAUCGCUGGAGCUUGCACACUUUGUUAGCAUCUUUAGGAUUGACGAAACCUUCUGGUUGCAUCAUAUACAACUCUUUUUUAAUAAAUCCAUUAAGGAAUGUAGUUUUGAUAUCCUAUUUGCCAGAUUUCAUAAAAUGCGGCAACUGCUAACAUGAUUCGGACAAACUUUUAAGCAUCAAUACGAGUGAGAAAAUCUCAUCGUAGUCAACACCUUGAACUUGUCGAAAACCUUUUGCGAUAAAUCGAGCUUUGUAGAUAGUAACACUACUAUCAGCGUCCGUCUCCCUCUUGAAGAUCCAUUUAUUCUGAAUGGCUCACCGAUCAUCGGGCAAGUCAAUCAAAGUCCAUACUUUCUUCUCAUACAUGGAUCCCAUCUCAGAUUUCAUGGCCUUAAGCCAUUUCACGGAAUCUAGGCUCAUCAUCGCUUCCUCAUAGUUAGUAGGUUCAUCAUGGUCUAGUAACAUGACUUCCAGAACAGGAUUACCGUACCACUCUGGUGCAGAACGUACUCUAGUUGACCUACGAGGUUCGGUAGUAACUUGAUCUAAAGUUUCAUGAUCAACAUCAUUAACUUCCUCACUAAUUGGUGUAGGCAUCACCAGAACUGAUUUCUGUGAUUAACUACUUUCCAAUUCGGGAGAAGGUACAAUUACCUCAUCAAAUUCUACUUUCCUCCCACUCACUUCUUUCGAGAGAAACUCCUUCUCUAGAAAGAUCCACUCUUAGCAACAAAGAUCUUGCCUUCAGAUCUGUGAUAGAAGGUGUACCCAACAGUUUCUUUUGGGUAUCCUAUGAAGACACACUUCUUCGAUUUGGGUUUGAGCUUAUCAGGCUGAAACCUUUUCACAUAAGCAUCGCAACCCCAAACUUUAAGAAACGACAGCUUGGGUUUCUUGCUAAACCACAGUUCAUACGGUGUCAUCUCAACGGAUUUUAGACGGUGCCCUAUUUAACGUGAAUGCAGUUGUCUCUAAUGCAUAACCCCAAAACGAUAGUGGUAAUUCGGUAAGAGACAUCAUAAAUCGCACCAUAUCUAAUAAAGUACGGUUACGAUGUUCGGACACACCAUUAUGCUAUGGUGUUCUAGGUGGCAUAAGUUGCGAAACUAUUCCUCAUUGUUUCAAAUGAAGGCCAAACUCGUAACUCAAAUAUUUGUCUCCGUGAUCAGAUCAUAGAAACUGUAUCUUCUUGUUACGGUGAUUUUCCACUUCACUAUGAAAUUCUUUGAACUUUUCAAAUGUUUCAGACUUAUGUUUCAUCAAGUAGAUAUACUCAUAUCUGCUCAAAUCAUCUGUGAAGGUCAAAAAAUUAUGAUACCCGCCGCGAGCCUCAACACUCAUCGGAUCACAUACAUAAGUAUGUAUUAUUUCCAAUAAGUCAGUUACUCACUCCAUUGUUCUGGAGAACGGAGUCUUAGUCAUCCUGCCCAUGAGGCAUGGUUCGCAAGCAUCAAGUGAUUCCAAAAGCCCAUCAGCAUGGAGUUUCUUCAUGCGCUUUACGCCAAUAUGACCUAAACGGCAAUGCCACAAAUAUGUUGCACUAUCAUUAUCAACUUUGCAUCUUUUGGCAUCAAUAUUAUGAAUAUGUGUAUCACUACAAUCGAGAUUCACUAAACCAUUUAUUUUGAGUGUAUGACCAUAGAAGAUUUUAUUCAUGUAAAUAGAACAACAAUUAUUCUUUGACUUAAAUGAAUAACUGUAUUGCAACAAACAUGAUCCAAUCAUAUUUAUGCUCAACACAAACACCAAAUAACAUUUAUUUUAGGUUUAACACUAAUCCCGAAGGUAAAGGGAGUGGGCGAUGGUGAUCUUAUCAACCUUGGAAUCACUUCCAACUCUCAUCAUCACCUCGCCCUUAACUAGUCUCUGUUUACUUUGCAACUCCCGUUUCAAGUUACUACUCUUAGCAAUUGAACCAAUAUUAAACACUAAUGGGUUGCUAUAAACACUAGUAAAGUACACAUCAAUAACAUUUAUAUCAAAUAUACCUUUGUUCACUUUACCAUCCUUCUUAUCCGCCAAGUAUCUAAGGUAGUUCCACUUCCAGUGACCAUUUCCUUUGCAGUAGAAGCACUCGGUUUCAAGCUUGGGUCUAUCUUUGGGCUUCUUCAUGGGAGUGGCAACUUGCUUGCCAUUCUUCUUGAAGUUCCCUUUCUUUCCCUUGCCCUUUUACUUGAAACUAGUUGAAAGAUCGUGGAUGUCGCCUAGAGCGGGGGUGAAUAGGCGUUUUAAAAUAAUUACGGUUUAGGCUUGAACAAAUGCGGAAUAAACCUAGCGGUUAAUUUUCCAAGCACAAAACCUAAAACAACUAGGCUCACCUACGUGCACCAACAACUUAUGCUAAGCAAGAUAAGCAACUAUGUGAUAGCAAGAUAUAUGACAAGAAACAAUAUGGCUAUCACAAAGUAAAGUGCAUAGGUAAAGGGCUCGGGUAAGAGAUAACCGAGGCACGAGGAGACGACGAUGUAUCUUGAAGUUCACACCCUUGUGGAUGCUAAUCUCCAUUUGGAACGGUGUGGAGGCACAAUGCUCCCCAAGAAGCCACUAGGGCCACCGUAAUCUCCUCACGCUCUCGCACAAUGCAAGAUGCCGUGAUUCCACUAAGGGGCCCUUGAGGGCGGUCACCAAACCCAUACAAAUGGCAACCCUUGGGGGCGGUCACCAAACCCGUACACUUUGGCAACCCUUGGGGGCGGUCACCGAACCCGUCAAAUUGCUCGGGGCGAUCUCCACAACCUAAUUGGAGACCCGGACGCUUUCCCGGAGCUUUGCACCACAAUGAUUGAGCUCCGAACACCAACAACCGUCUAGGGCACCCAAGCACCCAAGAGGAACAAGCUCAAGGGUACCAAGCACCCAAGAGUAAUAAGCUUCUCAACUUGUAACUUCCACGUAUCACGUGGAGAACUCAAACCGAUGCACCAAAUGCAAUGGCAAGGGCACACGGAGUGCCCAAGUCCUUCUCUCUCAAAUCCCACCGAAGCAACUAAUGCUAGGGAGGAAAAUGAGAGGAAGAACAAGAAAGAGAACACCAAGAACUCCAAGAUCUAGAUCCAAGGUGUUCCCCUCACAUAGAGGAGAAAGUGAUUGGUGGAAAUGUGGAUCUAGAUCUCCUCUCUCUUUUCCCUCAAAAACUAGCAACAAUCCAUGGAGGGAUUGAGAGUUAGAAAGCUUGAAUAAGGUCAACAAUGGGGGAAGAACACGAGCUCAAAGGAUAAGUUUGAAUGGGGAAGAAGACCCCCUUUUAUAGGAGCUCCCGAAUCCAACCGUUAUGUGCUCAGUCCGCGCACGAGCUGUACUACCGCUCUAGGGAGCGGUACUACCGCUCGGGCGGUAGAACAAGGAGAGCGGAGCGAAACAAAGUGCGAGGCAGAGCCGUAUGAGCGGCACUACCGCUGGAGCCAGCGGUACUAUCGUUGGCCGCAACGGUACUGCCUCUUGGGACAGCGGUACUACCGCUUCUGGUGAUAAGCGGCGCUGCCGCCCCGGCCCGGCGGUACUACCGCUGGGACCGCGCAUAGUGCCUACCACGAGCACAGGGAGAAGGAACAGAGAGGAGGGCCAUUGAGCGGCACUAGGGGUGGUGGUAGCCGCGGUACUACCGCACAUGAGCGGUACUACCGCUCCUACUGUCGCUGAACCCGACACGAGAAAACCACGUCUCGAGUCGAGGCGGUACCAGCGCAGAACUGGAGCCGUACUACCGCUUAUGGCCAUGGGCGGUACUACCGCCAUGGGACGGGGGAGGUAUGCCUAACAAAAAGAGGAGUGAAACCCCCAACCGAGAAGUAUCGGCAAAAUCUCCAACAUCGAAAACAUCAUAGAAGAUGCAUGCGAACUCCGUUUUCGAUGAACUCAAGCUUUUCAUCAAGAUGACCAUAAGCUCUAAGAUUCACGAAGAGAACCAAACAAGAACAAAGAAAGAUGAUGCAAGGAUGCAAUGGUUUGAGCUCUCAACAAACGAUACGAUCAAGCUACUCAUCGAGAGCCCCCCUUGAUAGUACGACAAUCGAUCCUAUAACCCAGUCUCCCAACUACCAUCAUGAGACCGGUAAAAUAGAAAACCUAUCAAUGUCAAACCUUUUCCUUGCACAUGGUCCACUUGAGCUAGAUGAUGAUGAUCUUGACUUCCUCAAGUUGGACCACUUUUCUGGAUUGUGUUGGCUCAAUGAAGACUAGUUGAUUGCUCCCCCAUACUCCACUAUGGGUGAGCCACUCUUCCACACAUCUUCACAUGUCCAUUGUCACCACAAUGGACGGCAAGCUUCAAGCAUUUGAUCUCUUCGUGAUGCUCCACUUGAACUUGCACACCGCAACCUUUCCUGAUUGUGUUGACUCGAUGAAGACUAGUUGAUUGCUCCCCCAUACUCCACUAUGGGUGAGCCACUCUUCCGCACAUCUUCACAAGUCCAUUUUCACCACAAAGGAUGACAAGCUUCAAUAAUUUGAUCUCUUCGUGAUGCUCCACUUGAACUUGCACACCGCAACCUAACCCCAUAAAGAACCCUCACAAAGACCAUGGGUUAGUACACAAAGCGUAAUUGACAAUGCUUACCAUACCAUGGGAUCACUUGAUCCCUCUCGGUACAUCUUCUACGCUUUGUGGGUUGAUCAACUUGAUCCACUCUUUGACUUAGUCUUGAUCAACCUCUCACAAGAACAAUCUUUAGGUAAUUCCUUGAAUAGCACCUUGGUCGACACAAACUCUCCUUGAAACCAACACAUGUACUCCAAGAAAAGCCUAUGGACAAAACCUUCAAAUAUAACUCAAGGCAACCAUUAGUCCAUAGAGAUUGUCAUCAAUUACCAAAACCAAACAUGGGGGCACCGCAUGUUCUUUCACUAGUGGUUUUGUCAACCAUCAACAUUUGAUGCUUUUCUUGAUUUCUACUUUCGUUGAUUUCAGCAUCACGAAGAGCUCGGGAAUCGUUUUCAUCAUCCCUUGCAUAUUAUAGUUCAUCACGAAGUCCAGUAACUUGGUGAUAGUGACUAGAGAACUCUGUCAAUCACUAUUUUAUCUGGAAGAUUAACUCCCACUUGAUUCAAGGGAUUGUAGUACUCAGACAAUCUGAGCACAUGCUCACUGGUUGAGCUAUUCUCCUCCAUCUUCUAGGCAAAGUAUUGUCAAAGGUCUCAUACCUCUCGACAUGGGCAUGAGUAUGAAAUACCAAUUUCAACUCUUAGAACAUCUUAUAUGCUCUGUGGCGUUCAAAACGUUUUUGAAGUCCCGGUUCUAAGCCGUAAAGCAUGGUGCACUAAACUAUUAAGUAGUCAUCAUACCGAGCUUUGUCAAACGAUCAUAACGUGUGCAUCUGCUCCUGCAAUAGGCCUGUCACCUAGCGGUGCAUAAAGGACAUAAUUCUUCUGUGCAGCAACGAGGAUAAUCCUCAGAUCACGGACCUAGUCCGCAUCAUUGCUACUAUCAUCUUUCAACAUAGUUUUUCUCUAGGAACAUAUCAAAAAUAAAUGGGGAGCUACAUCGCGAGCUAUUGAUCUACAACAUAGUUAUGCAAAUACUAUCAGGACGUGAGAUGGAGUAGUUUUCAAUGGUGAACAUCACUAUGUUGAUCAUAUAUACUAUAUGAUCCACGCUCGACCUUUCGGUCUCAGUGUUUCGAGGCCAUAUCUGCAUAUGCUAGGCUCGUCAAGUUUAACCCGAGUAUUCUGCGUGUGCAAAACUGGCUUGCACCCAUUGUAUGUGAAGGCAGAGCUUAUUGUUGGGGAACGCAAUAAUUUCAAAAAUUUCCUACGCACAUGCAAGAUCAUGGUGAUGCAUAGCAACGAGAGGGGAGAGUAUCGUCUACGUACCCUCGUAGACCAUAGGCGGAAGUGUUAUGACAACGCAGUUGAUGUAGUCGUACGUCUUCACGAUCGACCGAUCUAGUACCGAAGAUACGAAAUCUCCGCAAUUUGCACAACUUCGGCUCGGUGACGUCCCGCGAACUCAUGAUCUAGUAGAGCUUCGAGGGAUAGCUUCGUCGGCACGACGGCAUGAUGAUGGUGAUGAUGUUGCUACCGGAACAGGGCUUCGCCUAAGCACCGCUACGAUAUUACCGAGGUGGAUUAUGGUGGAGGGGGGCACCGCACACGGCUAAAGACCAAUGAUCAACUUGUGUGUCUAUGGGGUGCCCCCCUCCCCCGUAUAUAAAGUAGUGGAGGAGGGGGAGGGCUGGCCCUCUACUAUGGCGCGCCCUGGGAAGUCCUACUCCCACCGGGAGUAGGAUUCCCCCUUUCCAAGUAGUAGGAGUAGGAGAGAAGGAAGGGGAAGGAGAGAAGAGUAGGAAGGAAGGAAGGGGCGCCACCCCUCCCCCUAGUCCAAUUCGGACUAGGCCUUGGGGGGGGGCUGCCCUAGGCAGCCCCUCUCUCUCCCCUAAAGCCCAAUAAGGCCCAUAUACUCCCCGGCGAAUUCUCGUAACUCUCCGGUACUCCGAUAAAUACCCGAACCACUCAGAACCUUUACGAUGUCCGAAUAUAGCCUUCCAAUAUAUCGAUCUUUAUGUCUCGAACAUUUCAAGACUCCUCGUCAUGUCCCUGAUCUCAUUAGGGACUCCGAACAACCUUUGGUACAUCAAAACACAUAAAAUCAUAAUAUCGAUCGUCACCGAAUGUUAAGCAUGCGGACCCUACGGGUUCGAGAACUAUGUAGACAUGACCGAGACUCAUCUUCGGUCAAUAACCAAUAGCGGAACUUGGAUGCUCAUAUUGGUUCCUACAUAUUCUACGAAGAUCUUUAUCGGUCAAACCGCAUAACAACAUACGGUGUUCCCUUUGUCAUCGGUAUGUUACUUGCCCGAGAUUCGGUCGUAGGUAUCUCAAUAUCUAGUUCAAUCUCGUUACCGGCAAGUCUCUUCACUCGUUCUGUAAUACAUCAUCCUGUAACUAACUCAUUAGUUACAUUGCUUGCAAGGCUUAUUGUGUUUUGCAUUACCGAGAGGGCCCAAAGAUACCUCUCCGACAAUCGGAGUGACAAAUCCUAAUCUUGAUCUAUGCCAACUCAACAAGUACCAUCGGAGACACCUGUAGAGCAUCUUUUAAUCACCCAGUUACGUUGUGAUGUUUGGUAGCACACAAAGUGUUCCUCCGGUAUUCGGGAGUUGCAUAAUCUCAUAGUCAUAGGAACAUGUAUAAGUCAUGAAGAAAGCAAUAGCAACAAACUAAACGAUCAUCGUGCUAAGCUAACGGAUGGGUCAGGUAAAUCACAUCAUUCUCUAAUGAUGUGAUCCCAUUAAUCAAAUGACAACUCAUGUCUAUGGCUAGGAAACUUAAUCAUCUUUGAUUCAACGAGCUAGUCAAGUAGAGGUAUACUAGUGACACUCUGUUUGUCUAUGUAUUCACACAUGUACUAAGUUUCCGGUUAAUACAAUUCUAGCAUGAAUAAUAAACAUUUAUCAUGAUAUAAGGAAAUAUAAAUAACAACUUUAUUAUUGCCUCUAGGGCAUAUUUCCUUUAGUCUCCCACUUGCACUAGAGUCAGUAAUCUAGUUCACGUCGUUAUGUGAUUUAACACCAAUAGUUCACAUCUUUAUGUGUUUAGUUCACAUCUCCAUGUGACUAACACCCAAUGGGUUUACUAGAGUCGAUAAUCUAGUUCACAUCACUAUGUGAUUAACACCUAAAGAGUGAUCAUGUUUUGCUUGUGACACUACAGGAAUCCAGUAUUUUGCCGUCUGCCAUGGUGGACGGCAAAGGCACGGACAGCGGACGGCAAAGAGCUUUGCCGUCAGCGGCGGACGGCAAACAAUGACGACAAAGAUAGGGUCGGCAAACAGGUCCUUUGCCGUCUGCUUUUUAUGGCGGACGGCAAAGAGCCCUUUGCCUACAGCGGCAGACGGCAAAGAGGAGGGACGGCAAAAAACUGGACGUCCUCUAGCGUUAGUCCGUUAGGCGGCUAACGGCGGCCUUUGCCGUCCGCUAGCGGACGGCAAAUUUGAGCGCCUCUUUGCCGUCCGCUAGUUGACGUCAGCAAUGCGUCAGCGCCCGCUGUGUUUUGCCGUCUGCCACGGCGGACGACAAAGGCAAAGUCUUUGCCACCAGCUUAGCUUUGUCGUCCGCCAUGGUAGGCAAAUUUGCCAAAUGGCCCAUCCCUUAGGAAGCACAGGUGGGCGCCACAUGCCCCCUUUGCCGUCUGCCACCGAUGGCAAAGGCGUCUUUGCCGUCUGCCGCGGACGGCAAAGAGCCUGCACUGCCUCUUUUUUAUUCUGUUUUUCUUAUAUCCUACAAUUAUCACAGCAAAUAUAUCACAACACAUAUAUAUCCAUCACAUAAAUAUCCAGCACAUAUAUAUCCAACAUAAUAAAUAUCCAGCACAUAUAUAUCCAUACAUACAUACAUAGUAGGUUGCACAUAGUUCCAUCGAUCCAUACAUAUUACAAUAUGCAAAGUUUCAUCAUAGCAAUCUAGUUUCAUCAUAGCAAGCGAGCAGAAUACAAGAAGUGCAUCAAAGGAAAAAACAAGCAAUCCAUCAUAGGAAGCUGGCUUCCGUGAAGUGAAUGAAACCUGCAAAAUGACAAAUAAGAAAGUUAGAAAAAGAAGACUAGAAGAAGAAUUAGACUAGAAGAAAAAGAAUAUAAGAAGAAGAAGAAGACUAGAAGAAGAAAUAUAUGCCAUUUAUUAGCUAACUUAGGUGAACGGGAUCAUUUAUGAGCUAAAUUAGUUGAAAUGGAUCGUUUAUGAGCUAACUUAGGUGAAAUGGAUCGUUUAUUAGCUAACCUAGGUGAAAUGGAUCGUUUAUGAGCUAUCUUAGGUGAAAUGGGUCGUUUAUGAGCUAACCUAGGUGAAAUGGAUCGUUUAUGAGCUAACCUAGGUGAAAUUGAUCAUUUUGGAGCUAACUUAGUUGAAAUGGGUCGUUUAUGAGCUAACUAAGGUGAAAUGCCAUGUUUUUGAGCUAACUAAGGUGAAAUGGAUCGUUUUUAGCUAACUUAGGUGAAAUGGGUCAUUUUGGAGCUAACCUAGGUGAAAUGGGUCAUUUUGGAGCUAACCUAGGUGAAAUGGGUCGUUUUAAAGCUAACGUAGGUAAAAUGGAUCAUUUAGGAGCUAAUCUACGUAAAAUGGGUCAUUUUAGAGCUAACUUGGAUAAAUUGGAUCACUUGUAAGCUAACUAAGGUAAAAUGAGUCAUUUUAGAGCUAACUUAGGUAAAAUGGAUCGUUUAUGAGCUAACUAAGCUAAUUAUGCAAUUUUGACAUAAGUAAGCUAAGUACAUAUCGUUUUAGAGCUAACUUAGGUAAAAUGGAUGGUUUAUGAGGUCAGUAAGCUUAUUAAGUCAUUUUGGAGGGAAAGAAGCUAACUCUAGGUCAUUAUGGUAAGCAUAUUGGAGGAAAUAAAGCUAAGUCUAGGUCUUUAUGCAUUUGUUAAGCAAAACACUAGAGAAACUUACCGUGAUCAGGGAGGUGUAGGAGCGGGCUGGCUCGCGCCGAUAGCUAGAGAAGGAUCGUGCGAUGCGUUUCUGGAGUUAAGCUGCACCAAAGAUCAUUUCCAAUGUCUCGUUAGCAUUAUGACACUCAAAUGUUAAGACUAGCAAGUAAUGUCCUUUCAAAUUAAACACACCGUGCUCCCAGGAGCAAUCACUGGCAUCGGCGGAGCGGUCUGACCGGACUUCUCGCACACAGACUGCACAUUUGGUUUUCACAACAGAGUCAUACUAGUUAGUAAUGAGACUCAAAUGUUAAGACUAGCAAGUAAUCUGCAGAAGAAACUUACCACAAGGAGCUCGUACAUGGCCCUUGCCUGCAUGUCAUUCCGUGCCCUCUCCUCCUCCAACAUCUUUGUCGUCCUCUCCUCCAACUCCCGCUGCCUCUCCGCCGCAUCCGCCAGAAGUUUCUCCGUUCUAUCUCUCUCACUCUGUAUAGCAUCCUGCAACACCACUCACAUGACCAUUUGUAAUCAUUGAUGGAAGUGCACACAAUGUAAUGGAGAAAGAUAGCUGAGUACGUAUAACUAACCUUGAAGGCGAGUUGGACUGGCCAUUCACGAGGCCUUAUCUCAGGAGCGGAGCUCGACUGGCGCGCCUUGAUCUCCGGGAGAGUGCUAGGACAACGGAUAAGUCCAUCUCCCAUGGCUAUGGAGCCAUGGGACCUCCCGCCACCAGAUAUCAUCAGCAGCUCUGUAUCAAUGGGAUCCUGGCUCGGGUUAAAGUCCUCCCCUUUCCUCGCCUUCCCCUGAUCUCUAUAUUGCAUGAGCUUGUCGUGGGCGGAGAUGUUGGUGAAGUUCUUUGGAUCAUCGAGGUCAGACGCAGAGAAUGCCUUGACUUUCUUAUAAGGGCCAGUGUGGGCCAUGGCAUACAGGUUGUACACCUCUGGCACCUUAUCCGCUUUAUUGUAGCGUGCCUGAAAGAGAGAAACAAAGUAAAUUAGUAAUUAAAGGGAUAAAGCUAGCAUGAUGAAUGAAUUGCAUGAAUCAUGAAGCAAACCACAUACCCAGUUCCGCCCGUACUGAAAUAAGUUGGAGCUGCCUUGGUGGUGUGGCACACCUUCCAUUUGGGCACGUUUGUCCUUGGCCUCUUUGUGGGUGGCCCGCCAUUCUUUUGAGCACCACGCAUUGACCAACACCUCCCAACAAUCCAUCCGAUCCGCACACCAUCUCGGAGGGGCCUAAGUUAGCAAAUAGAAACUUGAGCGGUACGGCUAUGAAUUACUAAAUGAAGGAAGUAAGUACAAGGCCUUAAGAAUUACCUUCAUGUACUGCUCCUUACUCAAGAACUUAUCGCGGCACUCCUGCUUGGGCUUCUUGAUACCACGCCCAGCGUAGUAGUCUCGAACAACCUGCACCCGAACCUCAUGCCGUAAGUUCUGAAGUAGGCGCUUGCACUCCUUGUGGAUAACAUCUGCCGCCUCCUCCUCGUACCCCUCCUCACACCUGUAGAAUGUCUGCAAUCAAAUGAGACAAUAUUGAUUAGUACAAUUAAUAACUAGCUAGUCGAAGAUUUUUAAUUGUGUAAAGGAGAAAUUACCCAGAACUUUCUGAUCACCACGUCUGCCCUCGUCUUGCACAAGACACCGUCGAUAAUCUCACCCGGCGGGGCCGGGGCAGCCAAGUAGUGCUCCCAACUCAAUCCAACCUCUGGAAGCCGAGCCUCACCAGGCAACAUGACAAACCCCGGGAAGUUUUGCCGAAUCAGAACUCCAAGGACGAAGUUGGGCCGACGGACACUUUCAUGGUGGUCCCAACCCCUGCAGAAUGACAAGGCCAACACAUUAGUUAUUUGAAGAAACGUGAAUGCAGAAGGUACAAAAAGAUUAAAUGCACUUACCUCUCCCCAUCAGGGAAAAUCAACCACCUCUGCUCGCGGGUCACCGACACGGACGGGAGCCGUGUAGCACCACGCUGGUAGACGUUGCCCCCUCCUCCCCCUCCUCAAAAUCAGUCGGCUCCCUGCCAUCAUUAGCAUGGCCACUCGGCUCCCCGCCAUCAUCAGCAUGGCCACUCAGCUCCUUAGGCUGACCCGACCAGGCACCCCAUCCAGACGUGUGCUCCUCCGGGGUCUCGUGGGCCGAAGGCCCAUCUACCCAAGGCUCGUGGGCCGAAGACCCGUGGACCGGAGGCUCGUGGACUGGAGGCUCGUGGACCGGAGUCCGUGCAGCCUCCUCCUCAGACGAGUCCACCCUAGCAGUCACGUGCUCGGGUGAAAUAGCUGGGGGCGGCGGCGAGGAAGGCGCCGUAAGAGUCACCCUACCUCCUCUCCCAUGACCACGUGCUCCAUCUCCUCUCUUCUUCUUACCUCGUCCCCUGCUGGGCACCACGGUCGACGAAGAAGGGCCCGGCGAUGUCGCCAUACUGUCCAGCAACGCUCGGCGGAGAGGUGCGUGUGGAAUGGAAGACCUCGCACCACGCGCCGACGAAGAAGGGUCCUCGGCGCGCUCCCGACCAGCGCCCACCAUCUUUCAACACCUACCAUGACAAAGAAUAAACGAAAUUAGUACAACAUAAAAAAAGUACUGACAUGAAUAAUAAUAUGUAUAUCACUUAAGUGUAUCAUCAUCAAGUACAACAUAAAAAAAUUGAAUACCUGACACUACUAAUAAUCUCGAUCAGUAUCAUCAAUAAAUGCAUAAUCAUCAUCAUCACUAUAAUCAAUGAUGGGCUCAUAGGGUUCAUUGGCAUCAACAUGUGCAAGGCUACCUUGACGUAAUCGGUCAAGCAUUGACAGGUCAUCCGCAGUAGUAACCUCUUCUUGUUCCGGCUCUUCUUGUUCCUCCUCUGGGGUGAUGUCGGAUUCAUUGUCGCUGUCUACUUCAAUGUUUUGGGGUGAAGUAUAGCGGUUCUUGAAACGCUUUUUGGAAAGACGUGUCUCUUGGAAGAAUUCUCCUUCAUAUGUGUCUGGGUUAAUGUGAGGUUCAUAAUCCUCUUCCUUUGGGGGAGAAAGUCUAGCACGUGGCGGCACUUCAUAAACGACAUCCCAACCUUUCAGAUUUGGAUUAGUUUGGCAGGCCCACGGUAGAUAGAAUACUUGGGUCGCCUAUUGAGCCGUAAUAUAGACAUCAGGAACAUCUAAAUGGGUGCUUUGGUUGAUUUCAACUAGCCCUAUAUGUUCAUGAGUCCUUCUAGUCUCCUUCGACUGAAACCAAUAACAUUUGAAGACUACGACAUUCAGUGGGUUUUCACCAUAGAACAGAAGUUCAUAAAUUGCUUCAACUCUCCCAUAAUACUCGGUACCUCCUUCGCCGAUAGCAGAUACACAACAAUUUGUAGACUUUCGGUCGGCCAUAGAUAGCUCUUUGCCAUAGGUACGAAAGCGAUACCCGUUGAUGUCGUACUUGUCAAAUGAACGGACCUUAUAGUCAAAACCAUUAGCGACUUGUCUCAAUUCGGCGUCCAUAGACUCUGAAUUAGCCUACAAGUUUAAUAUGAAAGGAUUGUUGCAUUACACACAAAUUAGCGAAUGAAAUGAAAUUGUCUAAUAGAAAUUACCGUUUGUUUGAACCAAGAGAUGAAACCGGGAUAGCCGCCUCCUUGCUUUGCGAGAAGCUCAUACUCUUCGACGGAAUCCUUUUGGAUCUCUGCUCCAUACGAGAAUAUGGCGACGUAUCGACUGUAUGACAUAUCCAAGAAUAAGAGUAGUUCAAAGGAAAUAGAAGUUGCGAAACAAUGUACUGAGAACUUACUCGAUGUACGGCCGCACUUCUAUCAGGUUGUUGACGAUAUACAACGAAAUGGUCCGCCAUUCUUCGUUAUCCAAAGAUACUGGAUGUGAAACACUAGCUGGUGCGAGAUUCCCUUUGAAUAGGCUGAGGUUGGAUCCACCCUUUUUAGGGUCGUCGGCAUUGUACCGAGGCUUCGGAUUAUGCAAAUGAUGAUUUUUGGCUUUGUAGUGUGCUGUUACGAAGUUUGUCGCCUCCUCUGUGAUGAAUGCCUUAGCCAUCGAUGCUUCAAUUCUAUGUUUAUUUUUACAUUUUUCUCGAAGCGUCUUCUACAUCCUCUCUGUUGGGUAGCACCAACGAUUUUGCACGUGCCCCCCAAUCUUGCCUCGGUUGGAAGAUGCAAAAUCAAAUGCUGCAUUGGAUUAAAGAAGCCCGGUGGAAAGAUCUUCUCUAACUUGCAGAUCAACUCCAGCGCCAACUCUUCCAUUUCUUCUAGCACGCCAGGUGAUAGUUCUUUCGCACAAAGAACACGGAAGAAAUAGCGGAGUUCUGCCAGUACUAGCCAUUCAUCCUCAGGGAUGAAGCCACGCAACAUCACCGGCAUUACCCGCUCAAUCCAUAUGUGCCAAUCAUGACUCUUGAGACCAAAUAUCUUCAGUUUAUCAAGAUUCGCUCCCCUCUUUAGAUUCACUGCAUACCCAUCGGGGAACAUCAACUGCUGUUGCACCCACAAGAUAAUUUCCCUCAUAGCUGGCCUUCCAAGAUUGAACCAUGCCUUUGGCAUCGUCCAGUUCUGCUUUCCUUUUGGUUCUUUCAUGUUUUGUAACGGCCUAUCACAUAGCGCCUCCAGAUCGACUCUAGCCUUAAUAUUAUCCUUUGACUUCCCAUCUAUGCCGAACAAUGUACCAAAAAGUGCCUCGGUGAUAUUCUUCUCAGUGUGCAUCACGUCGAUGUUGUGUGGGCAAAGGAGGUCUUUGAAGUAAGGCAGAUCCCAUAAGCAUGUUUUGUGAGUCCACGCAUGCUUAGUAUUAUACCCCUUGAAGUACCUUGGACGGUGUGGAUCUGGCUCGAGAGCGUUUAACUGAUCCAGGGUCUGUUGGCCUGUCAAUGCAGGUGGUGCAGAGUUUUUGAAAACUCUACCUCUGAUGAAGUUCUUCUUGUCUUUCCUGAACUUAUGGCGAGGAUCCAGGAACUGUCUAUGCAUGUCGAAGCAAGAAAACUUGCGACCGGCCUGAAGCCAACGAAACUCAAGAGCUCCCUUGCAUGUGGGGCACGGGAACCUUCCAUGCACACACCAGCCAAUGAAUAGCGCAUACGCCGGCAAGUCAUGCGUCGAGUACAUGUACCAGACACGCAUUAUGAAGUUCCGUUUGCUAUAGGCGUCGUAUGUCUUGAACCCAUUAUCCCAGGCUUCUUGCAAUUCGUCCUUAAGCGGCUGCAUGUACACAUUCAUAUUUUUCCCCGGAUAGUUGGGCCCUGGAAUUAUCAACGUCAGGAAAAUGUUCUUUCUUUGCAUAAUCUGUCCGGGGGGNNNNNNNNNNNNNNNNNNNNNNNNNNNNNNNNNNNNNNNNNNNNNNNNNNNNNNNNNNNNNNNNNNNNNNNNNNNNNNNNNNNNNNNNNNNNNNNNNNNNNNNNNNNNNNNNNNNNNNNNNNNNNNNNNNNNNNNNNNNNNNNNNNNNNNNNNNNNNNNNNNNNNNNNNNNNNNNNNNNNNNNNNNNNNNNNNNNNNNNNNNNNNNNNNNNNNNNNNNNNNNNNNNNNNNNNNNNNNNNNNNNNNNNNNNNNNNNNNNNNNNNNNNNNNNNNNNNNNNNNNNNNNNNNNNNNNNNNNNNNNNNNNNNNNNNNNNNNNNNNNNNNNNNNNNNNNNNNNNNNNNNNNNNNNNNNNNNNNNNNNNNNNNNNNNNNNNNNNNNNNNNNNNNNNNNNNNNNNNNNNNNNNNNNGAGUGGAAAGACAAAUACAGGCCAACAACUGUAUUGGGCUGCCGAUAUACCAAACAUACUGAACCCAUCCGUGCUGAUGCCGACUCGAGGAUGCCUCGGAUUUGCCGCUUUGUCAGCAUGUAAUUCAUCAAACUUUUUCCACGCAACACCAUCUGAUGUGUGUACCAUCAUCAGAUUCCCAUCUGCACCUAGUUCGGUUCUUUUGCCUGUUUUGUGCCAUGUCAUCUGUCUGGCCGUCUCUUCGACCAUGAAAAGACUUUGAAGUCUUGGUACGAUUGGCAUAUACCGAAGAACACUAACGAGGAUUUUGGUCUGUGUCUUCUCACCCAUACCGUUGUCUACCAUAAUAUACCUGGAAGACUUGCAAAUGGGACAAUAGUUCAAGUACGCAUAGUCAAGCCUAAAUAAGGCACAUCCUUUCUCACAAGCAUGUAUCUUCUCAUAGGGCAUCUUAAGUGCACGGAGGAUUUUGUCCGACUGGUACAUGUUUGCAGGCACUACAUGGCCUUUGGGUAGAAAGCGUCCAAAUACUAUCAUAAUUGCGUCAUAGCAUUCUCUGCCCAAGUUGAACUGAGCCUUCAAAGCCAUUACUUGUGAGAUGGCAUCCAACUGACAAAGCUCAGUGUGCUCGUGGAGCGGACGUUUUGAAGACUCCAACAUUUCAUUGAAGGCCUUUGCAGAUUCCUUCAUCUCCUUGUCCGAAUCCCAAGCAUCAUCAUAGUCUUGCACCAUGUUUUUCAUCCCGGUACCAUGCUCGUCGGUGCGACGACGAUCCACCUGAGCUCGGUCACGUUGGGCAGACUCACCAUGAAAUGUCCACACCGUAUAAUCGGGCGUAAAACCACUCUUCUGCAGGUGUUUGCCCAUUUCAGCCUCUCCCCUCUUUUCCCAAUUGCCGCACCGGAAACAGGGGCACCAGGUUUUCUUCUGGCCAUUUGCAAAUGCGGCUUGCACAAACCCCUUGGUUUUUGUGAACCAUUCAGCGCUCCAUUUGUUCUGACCAGUGUGACCGGUAUACAUCCACGCACGAUCACUCAUCUUGACUUUCAGAGCUACUGGACACACAACAAUUAUAUAUGUAAUUCACCAUGUAUAUAUUCAUCAGUUGAUCUACUUUGUCAAUUUUAUUAUGUCCAUGCAACCUACACUCUAAUAGGUAAUGAUAGGUCCUAAUCCCACCCAUGUAUGUGUAGAUUGGGUUCAUUUUCCCAUGCUAUGCUCCGGAUCCGACGCAAAAUUUCGGCAGCACCUCCCCACUGUUCUCCUGAUACACGUCUCUGCAAUAAACAGAGAGGAUGUGUACCCGGAGAACAACAGGGGAGGCACUGACGAAAUUUAUGCGUCGGAUCCGGAGCAAAGCAUAUGGGAAAACGAACCCAAUCUACACAUACUCGGGCUGUCCAUGGAUAGUGUUGGACAAUUCUAAAGAAUCAAGGUUAUAAAUAUGCAAAUGCAUGCAUAUUUAUAACUAUGAUGCUUUCGAACAGGAGACACAUAUUGGUUACGCAUACUGAUGAUUCAAGACACAUAUAUAGCUAGCUAUCAAGUUUCAUCGGAAUAGAUCAAAUAAUUAAUGGGGGAGGAGGACAUGUCAUUUGUGCUUACCCACGAACGAAGGGGUAGAGCUCGUCAAACGCACGGCGAGGUCGUCAAACACCAAACCUCACAGCGAUGAAACAACUACACAUUUAAAACUACCCGAUAAACACAAUUAUAUAUGAUGUUUUUCAUAACAAAAUCGAAAAAUAUAUGACCUAACUAAUAAUUCACAAAUAUAUGACCCCGUCGGCCUCUGGAAGGCCAAAGAACACCUUUUCGGGAGGUGUCGGGUGUCGUGUCGGGGUCGGGGUGCCGUGUCGGGGUUGGGGUGCUGUUUCGCGGUCGGGGGGUCGGGGUGUCGUGUCGGUGUCGGGNNNNNNNNNNNNNNNNNNNNNNNNNNNNNNNNNNNNNNNNNNNNNNNNNNNNNNNNNNNNNNNNNNNNNNNNNNNNNNNNNNNNNNNNNNNNNNNNNNNNNNNNNNNNNNNNNNNNNNNNNNNNNNNNNNNNNNNNNNNNNNNNNNNNNNNNNNNNNNNNNNNNNNNNNNNNNNNNNNNNNNNNNNNNNNNNNNNNNNNNNNNNNNNNNNNNNNNNNNNNNNNNNNNNNNNNNNNNNNNNNNNNNNNNNNNNNNNNNNNNNNNNNNNNNNNNNNNNNNNNNNNNNNNNNNNNNNNNNNNNNNNNNNNNNNNNNNNNNNNNNNNNNNNNNNNNNNNNNNNNNNNNNNNNNNNNNNNNNNNNNNNNNNNNNACAAUUAAUAACUAGCUAGUUGAAGAUUUUACUCGGGGUGUCGGGUCAGGCUCAGGGUCGGGGUGUCGGGGUCGGGGUCGGGGUCGAUCGGGGUGUCGGGGUCGGGGUCUCGGGGUCGAGGUGUCGUGUCGGGGUGCCGGGUCGGGGUCGGGGUGCCGGGUCGGGUUUUCCCCCUCUUUUUUCCUUUUCUUCUUCUUCCUCUUCUUCCUUUUCUUCCUUUUUUUCCUUCUUCUUCUUCUUCUUCCUCCUUUUCUUUUUCCUCUUCUUCUUCUCCUCCUCUCCUCUUUUUUCUUCUUCUUCUUCCUCUUCUUCUUCUCCUCCUCUUCUUCUUCUUCAUUUUCUUUUUCCUCUUCUUCUUCUCCUCCUCUCCUCUUUUUUUCUUCUUCUUCUUUCCUAAAACUAAACUAAACCUAAACCUAAACCUAAAUCUAAAACUAAAACUAAAACUAAAACUAAAUCUAAACUAAACACAAACCUAAAACUAAAAAAAC
rnacentral:lncRNA from 1 species